AAUCGACGAUCGGCUCCGUUAGACUUGAUCUAGCGCAUUUGAAGUUUCUAGAAAAUAAUUUUUGCGAUUUUUCGAUAUCAUUUACCUAUGAUCGAAAGGAUUCAAAAUCCAUAAAUUUUAAUGGUUGAUAUUUGCCGUUUUCAAGUUUAACGGUGUAGAAGUAUUCAAAUCAGAUGAAAUUUUGAUAGAAAAUUUUUUAUACUAUCUACAACAAGAUCUAUAUUUCUGAUCGAAUUUUAGUGCUAUUCACACUUUUUAUAGAUUUUAUUUUCAGCCGUUAAAAUUAUUGAUUUUGAAUCCUUUCGAUUGCUAGGUAAAUGAUAUCGAAAAAUCGCAAAAAUUAUUUUCUAGAAACUUUAAAUACGCUAGAUCAAGUUUAACGGAGCCGAUCGUCGAUUCGAAAACUCCAUCAUCGAAAACGGCUCAGGAGCACGGAGGCCUCCGUUCUUGAGAGCACAGCACCUGCUCAUAAUAUAUAUAUAUAUAUAUAUAAUAUAUAUAUAUAAUAUAUAUAUAUAUAGUAUAUGAGUGAGACUACUAUGGCUUCGGAAGCACGAAGUCUUCCGUGCUUUCAGAUCGUUUUCGAUGUUGCGACUUUCGAAUCGUUGAUCGGCUCCAUUAAACUUGAUCUAGAGUAUUUGAAGUAUCUAGAAAAUAAAUUUUAUGAUUUUACGAUGUCAUUUGCAUAGUGAACGAAUGGGCUCAAAAUCAACGGCUGAAAAUAAAAAUCUUACAAAAUAUAAUAAUAUGACAUUAAUAUUUUAAAUCAAAGAUAUUGAUCUUGUUUUGUAUAGUAUAAAUUUUCUAUCAAAAUUUCACAUGAUUUGAAUAUUUCUACACCGUUAAACUUGUAAACAGCUCACUACGGCCAUUAAAAUUUGUUGAUUUUGAGCCCAUUCGAUCACUAGGCAAAUGAUAUCGAAAAAUAAUAAAAUUUAUUUUCUAGGUACCUCACUCUAUAUAUAUAUAUAUAUAUCACUACUAGUAAAAUGUACGUUCAAAUGCACGUAAUAAUUAUUAGAAAAAGUUAUAAUUUUUUUAAAUUAUUUUUUAAUUUUAGGCCAUAUUUUAUAUGAUUACCAAAUAUAUAUCUAAAAAAUUUAAAAUAAUAAAUCACACUAUUAAGAAAGAUAUGCUUUAAAUGAUAAAUAAUUAACAAUAAUCUCUAAUGCAAAAAUUACUUUUAAAAUUAAAAAGAAAAAUAAAAUCUGUUAGAAAAUAAAUUUUUGAAAUUAAAUAGAAAAAUAAAAUCCGUUAUCUUAAAAAGAAAAUAUAUUUUGAAAUUAAAUAGAUAAUAUCUAAAAAAGAUAUUUUAAAAUAAAAUAGAAAAAUAUCUUUUAUAGAAUUUUCACACCCAUAAUCUGUUAUAGAAAACUUAUUUUUGAAAUUAAAUAGAAAAAUUUAUAUUUUAGGAUUUUCACAUCAGUAAUCUGUUAUAGAGAACUUACGUAUUCAUUAUUGUUUCUAUUUUUAUUUUUAUUCUUAUAUUUAAAAUUUUUCGUACGGAAAGAGAAAAAUGGGCGCUAAUUUUCCCACCGAAAAAUGGGUCUGUCGACAGACCCAAAUUUAAAUAUACGUGCUUUUAUAUAUAGUAUAGAUUAUUGGCCACUAUAAACGACUUCGUGGAUUUUGUUUUAUGUGUAGCCUUAGCUAUCUAAAGGAGCAUCACAAAAGUUGUCAAAAUGUAUAAAAAAUGUUUCUAAAGUUUCCUUAAAUUUCUCUCUAAUAUUUUUUUUCUCUCUCAUUCUAACCACCCAUCAAAUUUGAUGGAUGGUUAGAAAAUUAAGAACACAAGAACUGUUGAGCUCCUAAUUGCAUAGUAACCCUACUCCUUUAUGCUCUUAUUUUUUCCUUUCUUCUAAUUAUUUUCAUACAUAUCAUAACCAAAUUAUGAAAUUAGGAUCCAAAUAGUAUCUCUAAAAUUUAAAUUAAAAUGUAUUUAUUAUUGUUACAUUUAGUAUCUCUAAAUUAAAAUGUAUUUAUUAUUGUUACAAUUAAAUAGUGAACCAAACUUUGUCUAACUAAAACAUUACUUUUUCAUGGGGUCUAUUAGUACAAAUCUUAGAACAUGGUCAGGACCGAAAUGGGCUGGGCUAAACCCGGACCCGUGUCGCACUCGAGUGCCUCCGAGGCGCAACGUUAGCACUCCCAAUUCGCCGCGUUGUUAUGUUUCAGCCCAAGGGUUUCCUCUAACCUGUGCCGGGGCGAACCCAUCAAUUACGAGAGCCUCUCCGGCGCAGGUUAGCUUAGUUCUACCUCACGGCGCACGAUAGAUCGACCAAGCGUCUCACAGUUCGAUCUCUCUCUCUCUCUCUCUCUCUCUCUCUCUCUCUCUCCCCCUUCGCCAUGGAUGAGCUCGUCUCCUGUGGCGCUUUCGAUUCCCUUCUUUCUAAAUAAUUCUGCGUACAUUAGGGUUAGCGUGUCGAUUCCGAUCGAGAUUUUAGUGGCGAAAAUGGAGCAUGAUCGAUCGAAGAUUGAGGAGGUGGCGCAGGAGACGAUGGAGAAACCAUUGAGACUCACGAUCCACGGAGGUCGCUAUUAAUUAUUGGGGAUUUCUCUGUUCUCUCCAAGCAUUGAGGUCAAUCUCGCUUAUACGAAGUUAGCUCCAAGGUGAGUUCAUCGAAGAACACUAUGUUACUCUAAUUUUGUUGCUCAUUUAGUGGUUUUUUUUUUAAUUUCAUUAGAUUAUGUGUUAAUUAUAACUACUAGUGAUUCUGUGUAUAAUUAUGUGAUCCUUAUGCUUGCUUGCUUUGAUGACAAUAGUUCUCAUCUUUUUAUAAGUCUAAUGUUCUUGUAAGAGAGCAAUUGAAGUUGGUAACUGCUGUUUACUUCUCUGGUGAUAUUGAGAACUCGUGUAAUGCAACUAUUUAAUACUAAACGCUAAAUCCUUUUUUCACCUGUAACUACACUGUGAAACUAAUCUAAAUAAAUGAACUAAUCUACUAUCGCCUGUUAAUCAGGACAUGCUACUAAUUAAUAUAGUUAGUAACCAUUAGUGGAGGCGCGAGGUGCGGGGCCACGGAACGCCAAUGCUUCCACCAACAGGAUGAAAGAAAAGGAGGAAAUAGAAAAGAAAUUGAGUACUUGAUGAGAGGAGGAAGUGUUAGAUCUGUUGUUGUUGUUGUUGUUGUUGUUGUUGUUGUUGUUGUUGUUUUAGGAGAAUAGAGAGGAAAGCACAUCAUCUAAUUCUGCCCUCUUUCAUCAUCGCAUUCUAGUCGGAAAGAGAAGCAAAGAGGUUCACUUCACUCUGUUGUAUUCUUGACAAAUUAAUAUUAGGUGUAGAUUUUCACUAGUGCAUGUUAUUUGCUCAAAACUUGUAUUGGUUGGUAAGUUUAACAUAAGAUUGAUGCAGAGAUAGAUAACAUGGAGAACAUGCCUUGAAUAUAAAUUUUUUUGGAAUAAGGUCUAAAACUGAGGGUUUUGGAGUCAAUUUUGAUAAAUUGAGACAUCACAGGGGAUGAAAUAUAAUAGUUAGUAGACAUUUUCUUGUGUUAAAGAUUACUAAACAAAUUCUUCGCUACUAUUUAUUUGUCUUGUUCCAAUUCAGUAAAACAUGAAUAAACCCUUUAAUUCAAUUCUUAACUUAUUUCCUUAUUAAUGAAGGUUCCAUCCUGACAGAAGUGUGGAUGAUAUUGAAACUUCAGAGCAGUUUAAAGAGGUUUCUAAUUCCUACGACAUUUUAUCUGACCGAGACGGAAGAAGAUGCUAUGAUAAUGGCGAAUUGAGGUACUGCUCUCUCUUGCAUAGAAUGUUCAAACCUUAAGAUUCCGAAUCCAUUUUGUAGUUUCUAGUUUAGAUAUCAGAUCAACAAAGAAAUAUAUGCAUGCUGCUCUAUUAGUCUGUCAUUUUUGGGUGACAAUGCACGGGAAUUUCCUCAACUGUAGGCCAUUUGACAUAGGCUUUUACACUGUAAAUUCACUGCUAUAUUACAAAAGCUAAUUUAUUAGCUGUAUUUAAAGGCAUAAGCUACUUUUUGAAGAACACAUUCUAGGAAAAGAAAGAACUAAGAGAAAAUACAACACAGCAGACUUGUCUCAUUUCUGCUAAAACAAAGAGACGGCACACCAGACUGGUAGAGAACGAGACAACUUAACCGACUCAUCAUUAUUCUCCAGAGCUUGAAUGGCACUAACACUCACUCAGACUCAUCAUUAUAACCGCGCACCUUAAGUCUCACAAUGGUACCUUUGAAACUAGUAGUACUCUAGUAGUUUGUGGGGCAUGUUGGUUGAUGUUCGCUUCCGCUAUCUCGGAUAUCUUAUACGGCCCUCUUGUCCCUUUUGUUGUAGUGUUGCUGCAGGCCCACACGGCAGAUGCCGCGGUGGAACUGCACUAUUGAGAUAAUUUUAAAACUGGUGUUCAUAAUAUAAAAUUUCUCUACAUUAUGUACUUUGGAAGGAGAUAUUAUUUCAAACACUUCAAAUUAAAAUUUAAAUGUAUAAUCUGUAAUAUUUAGAUGGUUUAAGUAUGAAAAAAUUAUAAUUUUGAAAUUUAUUAUCUAGGCACUAAGCAGACUCAAAAAUCAAUAAUAUAAGAAAAUAUUUACUUGAUUCGUAGUUUAUACAUGUCUAAAUUGCAUAAUUAUAACAUAAAACCUUUAGAAAAAUUAAGAAAUAUAUCAUUAAUUCUUUGUCAAUGUAAAGAUAUUUUAGAGUUACGUUAGAUAAUUUUUAGAUAAUUUUUCAUUAGGUGGAUUUGUUCCUUAAGGCCCUUUCUGGAUGUCGAAAUAAGUCAUCAAGUGAUAUCCUACUAGGUAUAAAAAUUCUAUAUUAUAAUGGUGAAGAUAGAUAUGUUGCCAAAAAGGUUUCAAGUUAUUUUUUUAAAAUAAGAUAAAUUAUUGGGCCGUGGUAUUCUCUCCGAAAACACAGAGCUGAAUAGACUUUCGACUUCGGAGAGCCCUCUGAUUAGAGGGGGCUCUAACAAAGCACAGUGGGCCCCUCUCAAUCAAAGGGAUCUCGGAGAUUGGAGAGUUUAUUCGGCUCUCCGACUUUAGAGAAUUUUUUUUUAAAAUUAUCUUAUAAAUAAAAUAAUACUAUUCUAUUAAAUUAUGAGAUGCUAAGAUUUUUUAAAAAAUAAAAAAGUAAAGCUACUAGCUUUCAAACAUAAAGAUCUCUUCUUACCGAAUAAACUACUUCGGAAUAUCUUUAUUCAGAAUUCCGAAGGGGCUCUAAAAUAAUUAUAUAUAUAUAUAUAUAUAUAUAUAUAUAUAUAUAUAUAUAUAUAUAGAGUUGAGCUAGAAUACUCUCGAUAGUAAACGAGCCCGUUUACUAUCGAGUUGUUUUCGAUGAUAGAGCUUCCAAAUUGACGAUCGGCUGACCGUUAAAUAUGAUCUAAACUAUUUAAACUACCUAAAAUCAAAUUUCACGCACUUUCGAUAUUGUUUUUUAUCCAUCUAGUGAACAGAAAAUGAAUGGCUGAAAAUAAAUAUUUUUAAAAAAAUGAUGAAAGAUCUUGUAAUCAAGAUCAAGAGUAUAGAUCUUGUUUUAAAUAGUUUAAAGAAUUUUCUAACACAAAAAUUCAAUUGAUUUGGAUAUUUUUACACCGUUAAACGGAGAAAACGUCUCUUAUCCACCAUUAAAAUUACAAAUUUUGAACCCUUUGAUCAUUAGGUAAAUGAUGUCGAAAAGAUUUGAAAUUUGAUUUCUAAACACUUCAAGUGGUAUAAAUCAUGUUCAACAAGCCGAUCGUCAAUUUGGAACUCUAUCAUCGAAACAACUCGAUAGUAAACAGGCUCGUUUACUAUCGAGAGUAUUCUAGCUCAACUAUAUAUAUAAUAUAUAUAUAUUAUAUUAUAUAUAACUAUAUAUUAUAUAUAAUAUAUAUAUAUAUAUAUAUAUAUAUAUAAAAUUAGACUGGAAUACUAUUAAUAGUAAAACUCUCUUUUUGCUAUCAAAUUUUUAACUCUUGGAUGAAAAAUUGUAAGAUUAGGAUGAUAUUAGUCAGUUAGAGUUGAGUGGUCCUCCUAGGGUUGAGUGGUCCCCAUUGGAUUAUAGUAUUUAAUCUAAUGGUUAGAAAUGAUGAAAAGAGUUGAUCCAAAUGCUAAAAAGCUAGUAGCAACAAUAGAAUUUUGCUACUAAUAGUACCCCAGUCCAUCUCUCUCUCUAUAUAUAUAUAUAUAUAUAUAUAUAUCUUGGCGCAAAGUUCGGGAGCGGGAAUAGGUAUUUCGAGCUGGAUACAAUGGGACCAACACCUGGUUGUUUGGCGUUGGCUGCUGUUGUCGUCGUUGUCGCGGACCGUGUCCACCCAAAAUAGUUUCUCGUAUAGGGGGUUUCCUUGGACUUUUUUUUUGUGCUCUCAUUUGGCCUUUGCUGAUAACUAUUUUUGGCACGGGUCUGACAUUCUUGCAUAAUAAUAAUAAUAAUAAUAAUAAUAAUAAUCAUUAUUUUUAGAGUGAGAAGAGUUGUAUUUGACCUUCCACCUUAGUCUUUACUUCGCCCGGAAGGCUUUGUUUGUUCAAUCUUUUUGUAAAAUAUCUAUUAAUCUUUAUGAAUUUUUAAUAAGAUAAACUUCAAAUACCAUCGAUGUGGUUUCGCACUUUCUCACUUUAGCAUCUUGUAGUUUAAAGUAUAUCAAGUUAGUAUCCUAUGAUUUCAUUUUUAUUUUUUUGUCAGCUUUUUUGUUAAUAUUUUGUUAAAUUAUAUACAAAAAAUUUUAGAUCCUUCACCUAGUUUUAUUGAAUAUUCAUUUUAGUAUCUUUUAGUUUUAACUUUGUCACUAAUUUAACGAAAAAAACUAGUGGAAUCAAUAAUAAGAAAAUAAAAAAAAAACCAUAGGGCAUUAAAUUGAUACACUUUAAACUACAUGGCGGUAAACUGAGAAAAUGUAAAACUACAUAGAUAGCAUUUGAAAUUUUUUCUUUUUAAUAUAAUAUAUUUGUGCCAUAUGUACUUUUUUUUUGCACCUCUGGUGAAGAUGACACUUCUACUUUCCUCCAUCAAAUUUUUAAUUAAUGUAUCUCAUGCUAUCAAACUUUCAAUUAAUAUAUUUAAAUAGUUUCAAUGCAGCCUACAAUCCUCAUUUCUCUAUUUUUAAUUAAUAUAUUCGAACAAUCCGUUGCCAUCUACAAUCCUCAUUUCUUCAUCUUUAAUUAAUUCAUUAGUUUUUUCUCCCUUAACUUAUUGCCACUAUUUUUGCAAGAAAAAAAAAAAUCAAACUUCUAACUUUAAAUCACAAAAGAAAAUUUUCAUAGUGCAUGAGCUACUACUAUGAAGGAAAAAGUCUAGCAUCCGGAUGCGCCUAUAUCUAUCAUGCAAUUGAAUAAAAUUGAUUUAUGUCUUGGCUAUUCAUGUAACUCUUUUUGUUAGGUUGAGUUUCUUUUAAUAAUUUAGUAUCAGACUCAGCCAUAUGCCACUAUAAUUUGGGUUAUUUUCUAUAUACCACGCACAUUAGCAGAAAUAUAUAUAUUAGAAUUAUUUCUGAGCCGACAAUAGUAGAACACCGCUUAAAGAUGCAGGAUGACUGUAGCCAUCCUUGAAUUCUACAAAUUACUUUCUUCUUAGUUUAUAUAGAACUCAAAAAAGGUGAAGUUCAUAGCAAACCUCAGAUCUUAUAUUUUUCUGAGAAAAUUACCUCGUCUGUCGUAGGAACUCUAAAAUCUAAUAGUUGAUAAUUUUUUUUAAAAUUUUAGUAAAAAAAUAACAAGGCAAUUAGAAAAUAUGGACGAUAAAAAGUUUAUGUCUAUGGUUAUAUCAGUCUAAAAUUUCAAUUUGGAUCAACAGUACUGCUGCCCACGUGACAACACUAGUAGCGUGUAUCUACCCCUUUAUUCAUUUCCGAGGCAGUAGCAUGUAUCCACCCUUUGGAUCUAUUCCCGACGACUAAGUUGCAAUUUAAUAUUUCCGUCCAAAGAUUUUUUUUUGACCUUUUUGCAUAAAAAAUUUACUUAUUUUAAAUUUUUACAAAAUUAGGUCAUCUUUUUUAUUUCUGCAGAUUCAGUCCGUUUUUUCAACAAACUGACCAAAAUACCUUUAUUAUUUUUUCUCUUUCCUCUUUCUCUCUUCUCUUUGUUUCUGUCGUUCUUUUUUUUUUUCUCGCCGAAAAAAAAAGAGGCGGACUGUCGCCUUCUUCUUCACCGUUGCCUCCCUUCUCACCCUCCUCUCCACCGCCCGCGACCCCCUCCUCCUCUCCCUCGCCACCGCGGACCCCCAGCCCGAUCCCGUCGCCGCGGCGGUAGCGGCCGCGGCGAAUGGGGUCGGGCUGGAUGCGGAGAAGAAGACGACGGCGAAGAAGAAGAAGGGGAGGCCGAGCGGCAGGGCGCAGGAGGGGGAGGCGGAAGCACAGCCGGCACCGGCGCCGCGGACCUCUAGCCUGAUCCCGUCGCCGCAGCGGCAGCAGCAGCGGCCGCGGCGAACGGGGUCGGGCUGGAUGCGGAGGCCGAGGCGAAGAAGAAGACGACGGCGAAGAAGAAGAAGGGGAGGCCGAGCGGCAGGGCGCAGGAGGGAGAGGCGGAGGCGCAGCUGGGGCCGGCGAGGAGUGGGGACCAUUACACCAUUACACCAUUUUGCACCAUUACACCAUUACACCAUUUGCACAAUUACACCAUUACACCAUUACAAUUUUGCACCAUUACACCAUUACAUCAUUUGCACCAUUACACCAUUACACCAUUUUGCACCAUUACACCAUUACAAUUUUGCACCAUUACACCAUUAUACUAUUUGCACCAUUACACCGUUACACCAUUUACACUAUUACACCGUUACACCAUUUGCACCAUUACACCAUUCGCUGAUCGGCAGCUUCUGCGCGGCGGCGGGAGGAGGGGCGGCGCCGACGGAGAAGAACACGCCCGACGUCGGUGCCGGCGCCGGCUGCGCCUCCACCUCCGCCUCCCCCUCCUACGCCCUGCCGCUCGGCUUCCCCAUCUUCUUCUUCGCCGCCGUCUUCUUCUCCGCCUCGGCCUUCGCAUCCAAUUUAGGCCUUCAUCUUCGUCGUCGUCCUCUUCUCCGCCUCGCCGUCGUCGGGCUGCAUGUACAAGAUGGCCAACUCGGUGUACCGGUCGGACCCGCCGGAGUCGCGCUUCACCAACUCGUCGGACGAGGGGCGCGAUCGGGACAUGACCAGCCUGUCGACGGCGCCGUCCGACGACAAGUAGUACGACGGCGAGUCGUCGGAGAGCGUGAUACGCGGCAUCAAGUCGUCGGCGCACGUCGACCGCCUCUUCUUUGACCCCCCAGGCGCCGACACGGGCUCCAUACUCUGCGACGCGGCGCCGAAGAAGGCGGAAGACGACGACGACGACGACGACGACAGCGCAAAUAGCGACGGCGACGCCGAUGGCGGGGUGGUGCCGUUCAAGGAGAGCGUGGUGGUGGCCAUGGAGUCGCGCGACCCCCUCCCCCGCCCCCCGCCCCCUCCCCCCCCCCCGCGUCUCUCCUCCGCCUUCGCCGCCGCUGCCAUGGUCGUGGGCUCGGCGACGGCAACGGAGACGACGGUGGGGAUGGGCUCGGCGGCUGCGACGGCGGCGGGGGAGAGGGAGAGGGGGCCGCGGGCGGUGGAGAGGACGGUGAGGAGGGAGACGACGGUGAAGAAGGAGAGUGAGGAGGGAGGCGAGGAUGAAGAAGAAGGCGACGCUCCGGUCUGUCUCUUUUUUUUUCGGCGAGAACAAAAAAAAAAAGACAGAAACGAAGAGGAGAGAGAAAGAGAAAAGAUAAAAAGUAAUAAGAAUAUUUUGGUCAGUUUGCUGAAAAAGCGGACCGAAUCUGCACAAACGAAAAAGAUGAUCCGAUUUUGUAAAAGUUCAAAAUAAAUAAAUUUUUUUUAUGCAAAAAGGCUUUUUUUUUUUCUCUCUUUUAUUAUUAGAAAGAAAUCAAUAUCAUUCCAGCCAUUUGCGGCUGAGGGGUUGAAGAAAUUAAAGAUAUGAUUUCUUUUUGGCUGUGGAUUAGAUUUUGGCAUUCCUCAUUCCCGAUUCCCCAUGCGAGGGCCCCAAUGGCAUCAGGUGGAGGAAUUCUACACUGUCACCUGAUGGUGACUCCCACGUCAUGUGACCUCGCUCCGUCCCUCUCUCUCUGUCUCGUAAUAUAUUUCCAUCAUUAAUAGGUUCAGCCCCUCGGAGGUAAAAGCCAAACAUAUGCCAUAAGAGCAUGCAUGCAAUGAGAUAUUAAAACCCAUAAAUUAUGAAUAUUUAUUGUUUAUAUUUAUAGGUGUAAUUAUUAUAUAGUUUAGAGACCAGUCUAGGUUCAUUUAUUUAUAAAUCGCAUUUAAGUAAUUUAUAAAUUUCGAGUGAUAGGCAUAUUAGUUUGACCGCCAAAAUCAAUUACAGCUGGAUUUUUAUUUUAUUUAUAUUAGUGAAGUCGUUGGAUGAUUGCUAAGGGGCUGUUUGGUUGCACGCAUUUGCAACUGCAGUGCAGUUGCAAAUGCGUGCAGCCUCAAUUUCUUUAUUUGGUUUAGUGUAGUUGAGUUCAACUGCUGCAGUUCCAACUACACAAGAAGGUCCAAAUGCUGCAGUUGGAACUACAUCCAAAUUGGCCGUAGUUCUAACUACAGCAGUUGGUGAGGAAUAAGAUCACCCACAAAAUAACAAUAAUAAAUAAAUAAAUAAAUAGCUAAAUAAAUAAAUAAUAUAUGUAUAUAGGUAAAUAAAAAUACUUGUAAAUAAACUCAUACUAAUAAAAUUUUUUAGACAAUACAAGCUUUGUGCAAAAAAUUAAAUUUUUUAAAUUUAUUUUAUUUAAAAUAUAAAUAUAGUUUUUUUAAAAAAUUUUUAUAGAAUGUGAUCGUGUAUGUUAAUUUAAUAAGUUUUAAUUAAUUAUAAUUAUUAAAUUUGAUAAAAAAAAAUGAGAGAAUCGUUUAAAUUUUAAAGUUUGAUUUACAUAUUAAAAUUAAAUAAAUUAAAAAUUUUAAAUGUGUCGAUUAAUAAGUUGAAGAAUAUUAUAUAUAUCUACUUAUUUAUUUAUAAAUAGUAAAUUUAAAUGAUUAAUAAAUUUAUACAAUUAUUUUAUGUUUAGUGAAGGUAAUCUCACCACUCUAUCUGAAAAUGUGACAAAAUUCACAAAUACAACUAUCAGCUUCAUAUUACCAAACAGAAGAAAUGUAACUGCAGCAGUUGUAACUGCGUAAAACCAAACAGACUAGGUGUAGUUACAACUGCAGCAUUUGCAACUGCAUGUAUUUUCAACUAUAUUGUUUCUGCAACUACAUCCAACCAAACAGCCCCUAAGAGUAGGUUUGGUUCCACAUAAAAAUUGCUGGAAGGUUUUUUCACGCUCGAAAAAUUAUUUUGUAGAUUUUUUUUAAAAAAGGCAAGCUUUUCGUUUUCUGUCCUGUCUCAUCUCGGGGCAGAAAGCGAAAACUCACCGUAGAAAACACGCGGCUCAAGGGUGUUCCUCGCAUCGCGGUCCACGAGCUCACUACGCCAGUGGUCCACACUGGACCUUGAGCAUUAAUUUGAAACAUAAAAUUAAAUUUUAAUUUAAAAAAGUGAAAUUAAAAUCUUAUAAUUAGAAGUUUUAAUUUUAAUUUUAAAUUUUAAAAAUUAAAAGUUAAAAUUUGACAUUUACAAUUUUAAAAUUGAAAUAUGAAAAUUAAAAUUUAAAAUUUAAAAUUUAAAAAUUUAUAUAAAAUUUUUAAAUUUUAAAUUAGAAGUUUGAAACUUGAAAUUUAAAAUCUGAAAUAUAAAAUUUAAAAUUUAAAAUUAAAAUUUUAAAUUUUAAAAUGAACAAUUUAAACUUUAAAUCUAAAAUUCAUAUUUAAAUUUUGAAAUUUUAAACUUAAAAAUAAAAAAUUUACAAAUUACGAAUUUAAAAUUUAAAAUUAAACAUCUUUUUUUAGAAUUUAAAAUUUGACGCAAAAGGAAGGAGAGAGGGAUGGAGCUUAAGAAUGAUAAAUUUUUUUUGGCCAAUUUGUAUAAAAAAUUUACAAAUUUUGAGCUUUCGCAAAACUGUGCUGCCUUUUUCGAUUUUGUAGAUUCAGUUCGAAUUUUUAGCAAACUGAUCAAAAUAUCCUUAUUAUUUUUUCUCUUUCCUCUCUUGUUUCUCUCGUUUAUUUUUUUUCUCUCCGAAGAAGACGGCGGAGGCGGAGGCAGAGGAAGAGGCGAAAACGGCCCGCCUCGCCUCUCACGCUCAUGCCCUCGCCCUCGCUCUCGCCCGCGCACCUCCCGUGCCUCNCCACCCCGCCGAGGCCACGCAGUGACUUUUUUUUUUUUUCCUUUCCAGCCCUUCUUCAUCGUUUUCGACGACGACGCCGCUCUCGUCAUUUUCCGCCCUUCUCGCCCUCUCCCUCUCCCUCCUUCACCGCCUCCGACGGCGACGCCUCUCCACCGAUGCCGACGUCGUAGAGGUCGCUGCAGCGCCGCAGCCUCGAAGCAGGGGUCCUUAGCGGUGUCGUCACCAGCAUCGUGGCCGUUGGCGGAGAGACGGAACAAAAAAAAUUAUAAAAAAAGAAAGAAGAAGAAAAUAAAGAUAAAAAAGUAUAGAAAAAGGAAGAAAAAGAUGAAAUUAUAAUGUUAAAAUAAAAUUACAUUGUUUAAAAUUUUUUUUGAACUGUUUUAAAUAAAGUUAUACUUUUUGAAACAGAAAUUAUACUUUUUGGGACCAAAUUUACAUUCUUUAGGAUACAAUUGUAGUCUUUAGGUGAAAUUUAUACUAUUUUUCUUUUUCUUCUUCUUCCACGGCGAAGGCGGAAAAGAAGAGAGAGGGAGAGGGCGAGAAGGGCGGGAAAGGACGAGAGAGACAUCGUCGUCAGAAACAGUGGAGGAGGGUCGGAGGUGAGGAAAGCGGGGCUAUGCUGGCGAGGGCGAGGGCAUGAGGGUGAGAGGCGAGGCGGGCCGUUUCCGCCUUCGCCUCUGCCUUCACUAUUUUUUUCGGCGAGAGAAAAAAAGAAAGAACGAGAGAAACGAAGAGGAGAGAGAAAGAGGAGAGAGAAAAAAAAAAAAGAUAUUUUGAUUAGUUUGCUGAAAAUUCGGAUCGAAUCUGUAAAAUCGAAAAAAACUAUCCAAUUUUACAAAGCUUAAAUUUUGUGAAUUUUUUAUACAAAUUGAUCAAUUUUUUUUCUUAGACAGAAAUAAAUUAUUAAAUUAUUUAAUUUUUUAAAACAUAAUAUAACUAUGUUUUAAAAAAUUAAUGCUCCGAUACAAUAUAACGAAUUUUGCGCAUGAUUUAAUUGUUACACUGGUAAAAUACUAACUCAGAAACCAAGGCAAAACAGGUCACAAAUUUCCACCACUCAAAUGUUUAUCCCCUCGGCCGCAGCCGCCAAAUCCAGGAGGAAUUCUACACGGUCUUACUUACACCACGUCAUCAAUAAUAAGUCAAUUAUAUUUCUUCUUUUCAAACAAAAGUACAAUAAAAAUAUUUUUUUACAAUUAUGGUCAGAUAUUUUUAAAAAAAUUAAUUUGAUUGGUUUGUUACGUCACGUCACUAAUAUAUCUGUUGCAUUUUAGAAUUUUUCCAAAUCCGGACACUACCUUUUCACACCCGGCUUUUUACACGCACCCUGUCGAUAUAUACUGAUCCUAUUGGUUCCAUUCCAUGUGUGCAUAUAUCUGUAUUGCAUGUAUAUGGAUGGAUAUAUAUAGAUAAGGGCACGUACGGUGGUAUAUCCAAGUGGUACUCCGUCCAUCACCAUGUCCUUUCUCUCCUCCUCCAACUCCCGCUCGUACAGCGGCGUGGGUGAGGCGCGCAACGGCCAGCGCCGCAGCGAGUGCUUCGCCAGGUUCUACGAGAACUGGCUCGCCGAGCAGGAGCGCGACCUUGCGGACCUCCGCUCCGCCGCCGCCGCCGCCGCCGCCCGGGGGGGCGGCGAAGAGGAGGAGGAUGGGGGGGGUCGUCGGCCACUGCAGAAUUUAGUCGACAGGGUGGUGGGCCACUACGAGUACUACUACCGCGCCAAGGCGGCGUCGGCGCGCCGCGACGUGCUCCCGAUGUUCUCGCCGACGUGGACGAGCUCGACGGAGAACCUCUUCACCUGGGUCGGCGGGUGGCGGCCCAGCACCGCCAUCCAGCUGCUCUACUCCAAGUCCGGCCUCCAGCUCGAGGCCCGGCUCUCCAACAUCAUCCGGGCUCUGCCCUCGCCGGACCUGGCGGGCCUCUCGCCGGCCCAGCUGGAGCGGGUCGACCGGCUGCACCGGCGCACCGUGCGCCGCGAGAGAGAGAUCGCCGAGGACGAGGCGGCGGUGCAGGAGGCGGUGGCGGAGGCGAGGAUGUUGGAGAUCGCGCAGGCGAUGAGAGGGUCGGAGGGGACGGAGGCGGCGGUCGGGGAAAUGAGGGGGCAGAUGUCGGGGAAGGAGGAGGGGAUGGAGAGGGUCCUGGAGAUGGCGGACGAGCUCAGAGUGGAGACCAUCAAGGGGCUGGUGGAGAUAUUGGAGCCGAUCCAGGCCGUGCAUUUCCUCAUCGCCGCCGCCGAGCUGCAGCUCGCCGUGCGUCAGUUCGGGAUGCGGAAGGACGCCGAGGCCGCAGCGUCUGUCGCAAACGGGGAGAGAGAGCCCCAUCUGACGACGGUGAUCAGGCCGGCGACUUAAUUGGGUGGGUGUCGCCGAGCUUUAUAAUAUUCAGUCUUGCAUUAUGCACUGCUUACUUUCCUUCCUGCCGUUAGGUUUCACUCAGAAGUAAUAUUUUCGUUCCAGUUUUAAAGUGUUAGUCUUGGUUAGGCGUGUAUCUCUCUCUCUCUCUCUUUUCUAAAUGCAUGCUUCGUCUUAUGGCAGUGGUUGUGCUAACUUUUGUCUGUUCCCGUUAGUAGUGCUUGAACUAAAAUACAACGGGGACAAAAUCUUUCUCUGCGGUGGCCUAGUGCCUACCUAAAGCUACCGUCUUUGAAUUUUGAGGCUGAUUUCAAUUUCACCUUUCCAACUGUAAUCACCGUGUUUGCUUUUUUAAUGUCUCCAGUUUCUCCAAAAUGUGCCCUGAGUCGAAGUAGAGAGACUAAAUUAUUACGGCCUAAAACCUGCACUAGACUUUGGGUUAAAGCUUUCAUCACUAUGAAAGUAAAGUUUUUUUUAGUUCUGCUAUUUAUUUAGCAGAAAUAAAUAAUAUAAAAUUAUAAUUUAUUUAUAAAUAAUAAUAAAUAAUAAUAAUAAUAAUAAUAAUAAUAAUAAAGAUAAUGAUAAUAAAAUAAAGUGUAGUGUGAAUUGAUGAAUAGCAUUUCAACAACUCGAAAUAAGGAUCCCUAACUUAGUUUCAAGUCAGACUAUGUUGGGAUUUGGUUAAAAAAACUGUAAAAGCUAUAACUAUAAUUUAUACAAGAGCUUCCAUUGUUUGGUUGAGAUUUGUUCAUUCACCGCUGUAUUUGAUUACAUAAGUAGGAUGUACAUUUUAUACCUUUGGUUUAAACGUUUUAUAUUUUUCAGAGUAAUCCUACAAGUACAUCUACCUUAUAGGUGUAAGCCUUUGGAAGGCCAGAGAAGUCACUCACAUGCUAUUUUAUUUAUUUUGUUUAGCCCUAAAAGUCUAAGAAAGAGAUUUUAUGAACCAUUGAUAUAUUGAGUGUAUAUAUUGAGUGUAAGAUUUUAAAUGUAAGAAAACUGGACUUUAAAAAUUAUUCUUAUUUGAUUGAGAACGUAUUUUGAUUUUUAUACAUAUACAUUAAAGUAUUAUUGUGCACUCCUAUAUAGAGGAUAUAUAUAGCAUUUUUUAUAAAAAAUUAAUAAGAUAAAAAAAUAUAUAGGAUGUGCACUCCUAUACAGAGUGUAUAUAUAGCAUUUUCUAUAAAAAAUUAAUAAGAUAUAUAUAUAUAUAUAUAUAUAUAUAUAUAUAUAUAUAUAUAUAUAUAUAUAUAUAUAGUGUAUUGGCCUAAUCCACUAACUGUAAUAAGUCAUUAGUAUGAAACAACUAGUCGAGAACGUGUAAGCCUAGUUAUUACUAUUAGUACACCCAUCAAAUGUAAGUCUUUUACAUUUUUUGGGUUUAUUCUAUAGGGGACUGUUGAGGUAUUAUAUGUUUCUUUAGUUCUAAGUUCUGAUAUUUUCAUCAAUCUAAUCAUUAAACGUAAGAUUUAUAAUCUAUUUAUAAAUGUAUAUAUAGAUAGUAUUGCUGAAAUCAGAAUAAGUAAAGUAUUUUGCUCAAAUAAGCGAGCCAUCGAGACGACUCUAACAAGCGGGAAAGAGGAGAAGCAAAACAAAACAACUAAUUAAACAAACUUGCACAAAAAAAAAAAAAAAAGAAAAAGAAAAAGAAAAAAAAAGGCGAAGACCGGAACAGCUUACUCCGUCAUCAUCUGAGCGCACGUUGAAUCAGCAAAUCUAUUCCAAAAAGAAUUGUCGGACGCGGAUUGUGCAGAUUUAUUCCGAGAGGCGCAGGGCUAUAUAUAUAUAUAUAUAUAUAUAUGAGCAGGGCUGCUGUGCUCUCAGGAGCACGGAGGCCUCCGUACUCCUGAGCCGUUUUCGAUGAUGGAGUUUCCGAAUCGACGAUCGGCUCCGUUAAACUUGAUCUAGCGUAUUUGAAAUUUCUAGAAAAUAAUUUUUACGAUUUUUCGAUAUUAUUUACCUAACAAUUGAAAGGAUUCAAAAUUAAUAAUUUUUAACGACUGAAAAUAAAAAUCCUAUAAAAAGUGGUGAUAUAGCACUAAAAUUUUCGAUCAGAAAUAUUGAUUUUAUUAUAGAUAGUAUAAAAAAUUUUGUAUUAAAAUUUCAUCUGAUUUGAAAACUUCUACACCGUUAAACUUGAAAACGGCAGAUAUCAACCAUUAAAAAUUAUUGAUUUUUAAUCCUUUCGAUCACUAGGUAAAUAAUAUCAAAAAAUCGCAAAAAUUAUUUUAUAGAAACUUCAAAUGCGCAAGAUCAAGUCUAACGGAGCCGAUCGUCGAUUCGAAAAUUCCAUCAUCGAAAACGGCUCAGGAGCAUGGAGGCCUCCGUGCUCCUGAGAGCACAGCAGUCCUGUUCUAUAUAUAUAUAUAUAUAUAUGGAAUUCAUGAAAAUUUAAAAAUUAUUUUUUAAAAAAAAAUUUAUAAGUUAGAUGAUUUAUUUUUUUAAGUGGAGAUUAAUGUUUGAACUCAACAUCAUAUAUAUUUUUAUUUUAAAAAGAUUGGAAAAUAAAUUUACAUUACUCAAAUAUAAUUAUCAAUAUAUAUUUUUCUUUAUUCAAACCAUUAAUCUCUUAUUCUAAACUUUAUAAAAUACCAUGCAUUCAAAUUUAAUUAUGAAUUAAAAGAGAGUAAAUACUGAGAAAAGGUGAAGAGUUAGAAGAAAAUAAAUAUACAUAUUUUUUUAAAAAAGAAAGAUAAUAUACUAUUUAUUUCGUUUAAUUUUUUUUUAAAAAAAUUAGCUGAAUACAUGAAGCAACUAGGUUUCAAACUUGAGAUAUUCGAUUAGGCAGCAACUAACAAGUCCUAUUCAUCUGUCUUGGAUGUAUAUAUAUAUAUAUAUAUAUAUUUAUAUCCUUUGGCUAUCCAUUCUAUUCUAUGUGUAAAUUUUGGGAGGCCUCUAGUUUCAAUUUCAAUGGUAAAUAUAAAAUUAAACUUGGCGCGCGACCUGGCUCCCAUGCGGAUGGACACGUGGGACCGGCUGCCGCUGGAGCUGGAGCUGGAGCUGGAGCAAGACGAAGACGAAGUUGAAGCUUCCCCCUUUUCUUCUCUUUUCUUCCCUUCUCUUCUCUUCUCUUCUCUUCCUCCGCUGCCCUGCAGCCAUUCGUUCAUUCCUGCAUUCUUUCAUUCAUUCCGCUAGCUGAAAACUUAUCUCGUAAGUAAGGACUUACGAGCGGAUGUAGCUAGGAAGGGGACGAAAGAAGCCCAAAUGUUUCCUUCUCUCCGAAGACAUGCAAUGGCGCCGCGCCCUAUUUAUUCAGAUGCUACGCACCCCUCCACCUUCCCUUUUGGCCCUUCCGGAGAUGGAAAUGGAGACGUUCUACGAGGGGUGGGUGGCGGAGCAGGAGCGGAUCCUGGAGUUGCUCGUCGCGGCGCCCCGCGAUCGCCCCGACCUGCACGUCCCGCUCGUCGCCCGCGCCCUCGCGCACUACGACGGCUACCGCCUCCGCCGCUCCCGGGUCGCGGACCGCGACGUGCUCCGCGCGUUCGACCCGCGCUGGCUGACCCCGCUCGAGCGCUCCUUCAUCUGGAUCGCCGGAUGGAAGCCCGCGCUCGCCUUCCGCUUCGUCCCCCGCGACGGCGGCGUCGACGACGAGGCGGGGGGGAGGGCGGCGGUGGAGGAGCUGCGGAGGGAGGUGGCGGAGGAGGAGCGGGCGCUGGCAGCAGCGAUGGCGAGGGUGCAGGAGGGGCUGGCGGCGCCGGCGGUGGUGGAGGCGGUGCGGCGCCCCGGGAGGAACGGCGAGGAGAGGGCCAACGCCGCCGCGGCGGUGGAGGACUCGCUGCGGAGGCUCCUCGACGCCGCCGACGCUCUGCGGGCGCGCACGGUGCGGACCAUCGUCGACGUCCUGCAGCCCUGGGAGGCGGUGCGGUUCCUCGCCGCCGCCGCGCAGUUCCACCUCGGCCUCCGCCGCGCGGGCCUGCAGCAGCGCUACAACGAGACAAGGAGGGCCGCCGUCGGAUAAAAAGAUAAAUAGAUAAAAGCUAGCCGGUAGGUAUUAUUGUCUAUCGUACGCGAGUGAGUGUCUUAGACGCGUGGUCCUAGUCAUAAAUAGUGUUUUGAGUCUGAGUGAGCGAGGAGCGAGCGAGUGUCUACGCGCUUCACGCUCCAGCAGGAGAAUAAAUAAAUGAUCAUGACUAGUCGGUUAUUAGGUUAGUAAUCUCUGGGUCUGUCAUUCUCUACCAGUCUAUUGUGUCGUCGUCUCGGGCUUUGUUUGUUUUAGUAGAAUUUUUUAAGAAAAAGAGUCUUCGUCUGUCAGCGUGUUUUUUUUUUUUUUUUUUGAGAAAUAAGUAGUACUACGCUAUCUACUUAAGGAUGAACUAUGCUACAUUGGUGAAGCAACAUCAGCCUCGGGAGUGGGCGGGAAAAAAACAAAAAAGAAACACUACGAUUAACCAGACAAAACAACUUCGUCGGCUGUUUAAUCUUGUGCACUGCUUGGCGGGUUUUUCUAAAAAUCACAUUAUUCCUAACCUCUCAUAUAAUCCACCAGCAGGCUAGCAAUUUGAGUAGUGAGGUGAUGGAUCACUUUCUCAAACUUCUAAUCUUUCUUCCACUUUAAUGGCCUGGACUGUUUGUUUGCUUUGAACUCAUCACAGUAGGAAUACAAAUUAAAAGCUGCAGAUAUCCGGAGAAGCUAAGUGAUCCUCUGGCCCAAGCAACAUAAGACCGCUGCCUCAAGUACUGCUAGUGGGUUAAUCUAUCCGUUCGUCUGGGAGAGUUGUGCAUCUCCACCGCCAGGCCCAUCACAUCACGGAUCACCAUUAACAGUUCAGAUGAGACUGAAGGAUCACCAUUAACGGUUCAGAUGCCCCCUCCGUCCCGGAGAGAUGGACAGUUAGAUUGCUGGCGCUCACCAGUCUUCUUAAAGGAUGAGCUGAAUCUGCAAAAUAUCUACUGCAGAAUAUCUAGAGUCUCCCCGUAACCAAAAAAUUUAAAAUACAUACAUCAGUUAUAUUGUUUAUACGACGUCUCCAACCAAUCAGUAGCUUCAGAUUCUUCUUAGCUUUACGCAUCCGAUUAUGAUUAUUAGAAAAAUAUUUAUUGUACUUUUCUUGCAAAAAAAUAUAUAAAAAAUAUUAUUAAGCUGAUUAUUGAUUAUGUGAUCAGUAAGUGCGACAUAAUAAAUCCUCUCCCAAAUAACACGCCACGUGGCCCAAGUCCGCCUUUGUCUUGUGCCGUACACGAUAGCUGAGUGUUCCAGUAUUUUUUUUUUGCAGGCGACAGAGGGUCGGUGUAUGUUCGAGUAUGGUAAAAGAACUCUAAAAAAUAGUGAUUCUUAGUUUCUACACAAUUCAAAUAGCCAUACAUCUUUUAUUAUUAUUAUUAUUAUUAACAAAACUGGAUCUUCAAUAGUAAUUUCUCACACAAAUUUUGACUAAAAGACAAAAGUAUUCACGUUCUUAUACCUGUUUCUAGCUCUACAAGCGACUCUACAAUAAGCUAGAUAAUAACAUAAUGCUUUGGAUUUGCCAGACUCGGCUAAUAAGAACUUAUUUGGUAUCGCCAGUUAAAACUGCACAUAUCGUUAUAAACUUUAGAAAAGAAGCCAAAGGGAAUUGAAGUAACUCAAUUCUAAUAAAACACCUAAAAACAUUUGAUACUCCAAGUCAAUCGAGACCGCGAAAAGAUAGGCAUACCAAUUUUCUUUUUCUUUUUUUUUUUUUGGGUGGGGGGUGGGGGGACAUAUCUAUUAGUGUCCUAAAUACAACAAACAACUGCUUAUGGGCAGUAUUAGCUGUAGCAGCAUUUUGACUGAUCUAUUACUAUAACAUCAUUUCAGAGAAUUCCCGCCUCCCCUGUUUUAUGCUAGAAUUCUGUUCCAUACAUCACAUUCUAAGAUCUACUCAAUUCUAAGCAUAUACAGAGAAAACCCAAAGUCCUUGAUAGAUCCAACAACAGCUAGUAUGAAAGAUGGAUUCCUUACGACUGAAAGUUCAGUAAAAAGGGUUAAAAGUAAUCUCACCAUCUAAUUAUAUUGAGGCACUUAGAAAAAUGUCUGCACUCACCUCAGAGAAGUAUUGUAGUGUGAGACGAAAAAACGGUAGUCAGGGGUAUCAAUCUUUAGGCCGCGAAGCCAAUUAUCAGCUGUUUGCAAAAGAGAAGCAGCUAAUUGCUGGUCAGACAAGCCAUUUGAAGUCCAGAUAGAAUCCCUGAACCUGUAGGAAGCUAGCCCGAGCAAAGGUAAUGCGAGCUUCUUCGAAGCAUCUGCGGAAGUGCUUUUGAAGUUCGCAAGAGAAUAUAUAUCGGGAUGCCCACUUCUUGCGUCUGCUAAGAAUUCAAUUCAUUCACGAACAGUUAGCACGACGACCUUACUUAACAAACACCAAGAGAUGAUUUUGUAUCAUAUAGGGCGUAUGUGGCCCCACUGGAGCUUCUGUAGGAGUGACGUUUAGUGAGCUGCUUGAGGGUGAAAAAAAAAAAAACCCACCAAUUUUUCAGAAUUUCAUUAAGAUCCCCCCAACAGAUUCCUGUUGUAACAAAGAAGCAGAAGCUUCAGGAAAAAGCUCUUGCUUUAGGGGCCCUGAAGCACAUUUUUGUUUCCCUACAAGCCAGAAGCUCUAGAUUCUUGUUUGCCAAACUCUCGGCAUCAGCGAUUUGCAUAGAGAAGCAAUUAAAGCAGGGCCGAAUAGAUAAUUAGCCCUGAUAAAAGGGGACUCUAUAAUAUGAUUAGCUCCAUCUUAAAUGUACUCCGAUGAAUUAUAAUUGUUACCUUUUAAAGGCGUCGACAAUGAGUGAAAGGUCAAAAAGCAAGCAUCCAGGUCCUGUAAUGUGGGGCCUGUGGGUAUCCUAUAUAUAGGAUACCUGCAUUGUAUUUGAGCAAAUUUAUGUCACGUAAACGAAAAAAGAUUUGUUCAUAAAAGAGAAACAAAAAAAAGAUUGGUUAAUAAAAGAGUACUAACAAAACAAGGUGAGAAGGCCAUACCAAGCUACAGAGAUCCAACUGGGAGGCAGUAGAUCACAGCUCCUUAACACCUUUAAAUCAGGAAAUUUAGUUGCAAGAACAGAAAUCUGCAGGCAUAGGUUAAGAAAUUAGCAAGAGGAUAAUAGCAUGAGGUAUUUACAUAUAUUAUGCCCCUAUGGAAGUAUCUAUUUAAACACAUAUACCAGCAAAAAUUGAAUUUUUAAGUGUCUUGCAAAAGCUUAAUUUCUCACACAUAUAUAUCUAUUAUUCUACAAUGAUGCUCCUCUUUAAAGACAUCGUCUAAUACAAGCCAACUAACCAACUUCACAUCAGGUCAUUGGAUUUUUGCACUUAACAAAAGUUUUAUAUAUAUAUAUAUAUAUAUAUAUAUAUAUGAAAUUUCUGUUUAUUACAGUGUAGACAUGCCAAUAAAUGACAUUGUGGAGAUAUGUAUGCAUGUCAAAUUAGUACAUGUACUCAUAAAUACCCUCGUAUAGGCCCAUUAUUUUCGUUUGGAGGGGAAUACAUCAAAGGUUUACCCAUGAAAUUGCUUCAUAAUUAAAAAAAAAACCCCAAAACGCGCUUGCUAUUUUAAUCAGCAAAAAGAAGAAACCCGAGAAACUUACCUUAUCUGCCAAAGGUUGUCUCCCAUAGGGUGGAUCAUACUCUUGGUAUUCAAAUAUGGGCACUUGUGAUUGGUUGCAAGCCUCGCUAUCAUCACUGGAAAAGCCUUCUUGAUCAGCACAUCCCGUGUUUCUUAAGGAUUCUCUUCGUUCGGCAAUGAGCUUCUCACUCUCACUCUCACUGCUAGCAUCGCUGCUUGUAUCCUGGUAGUUUUCACCGUCACUUUCCUCGCCAGGUCGCCUUUCAAUAAAAGGAGGGUCAAGGUAUUGAGCAUAAGAAAAAGGUUGUAUGACUGACAUUUUAAUGGUGACUUAAACAUACACAUAUAUCAGCCGAAAACUAAAAUUCAACAGUGUAAAUGUAUUGCAUGUAUCACAGUGUAAAGUGGUCUCGCACAAAAUCCUCAAUUGAGUUCGGCUCUUAGAAGUUGGGAUUUUGUUCAGAUUUAUUGAGACAUUAUUUCAAAUAAGGGAGUCCAAAUUCUCGAAAAGUUAUUCAGAUUUAUUGAGACAUCAUUUCAAAUAAGGGAGUCAAAAUUCCCGAAAAGUUAUCUAUUAAUUGUAUAAAAAGAGGGAGUCAGCCAUUAUCCACGUGAACAAUAACAGCAUAGGUAAUAAGUAGCGCCGUCAGAUAGUUUUGAAGGAAAUAAAGAAAAAAGAAGAUAAUGCGCAAUCACAUAUCGUGAUAGUCCAAAUCAACAGAACAGGACUAUAAUGCACGGAAUGUCAACGAACUUUACAAUUAAGAAAAAAUAGCAUAUCGCAAAUCGUGAUAGUCCAAAUGGACAGCACAGGCCCAUAAUGCACUGUAUGCAGAGGAACUUUGGAACUCAUGCUUAUUUAGGUCAAGCCAUUUGAGAUGCUCAGGCAGAAGGUUUCGUUCAUGAUUACCCGAUGAAAGAUUCUUCAUAGAAGAAUCAAACUCACCUAUUCCCGUUGCUUAUAAAUAGCUAUGGAAGAGAGCAAUUAUAAUGGCUACAAAGCAAUAUUUGGACAUGAAAAUAAUUAAAAGUUAGAGAAGAGCAUCUAUAAAAGGAUAUCUUCAGAUCUAAAUUUUGUGCUAAACUUAUGGCUCACAGGCCCUGAAUCAACUAAAAUGAUCUCAUUACCAAUCUAUACAGAUACCAAGCAAAACUGCAUAUAGCACAUAUGGCUAUUUAAGUAAAAGAAUUCUAUGACCAAAGAAAACAAGCAAGCAGGGCAACAUCCACCAUAACUAAAAACAGUAAUCAAAAAGAGCACGCUGAACUAUAGAGAAUCUGCAGCAUUAGAAACUUGGCGAUCAACAGCUUCUACCCAACAAACAAAGAAUAUAGCAUAUGCUUUCCUGGUUCAACUUCCACAACAGCUUCUGUACUCUAGAAGUGGAAGAAAGGAGUCUGACAGCCAAAAGUCUACAGCUUGAGGCAGGAACAAGGCACGGCAAUGAGCUUUGGCGUGCCACAUGCAGAAGCUCCACUUUGAAGCUUCUACUACUAGCUUCAGAAGACACCAAUUUUGACAACUUAGAGAUUUUAACUGUAAAGUGAUUAAGACUUUUGCAAAUAAUUCGACUCAAAGGCACUCCUACGGGCAGUUCCAGCCACGCAAGCAGCUAUAUCCAUAAGGUAGAACACACAACAACAAUCAUAAAGAGAAAAAGGUCCAAUCAGAGAUUCAACUAACAAAACCACACCAUUAGGAACUUGAUUAUACCUCGUGCUCACACUCGGUCUCGACUUAUUCACAUAUAGCUGAAUAGCGGAUAGGAAGGGCACAUAAUACUGUAUAACAUAAUCCGUCCCGCUCAAAACCAACGGCACGCCAACGCCGUAAGCACUCCACUCCUUGAACGACUCCCACAGAUCGGCGAGAUUAUAGUACGGGAACGAUUCAGUAUUAUCGCUUAUCCUCCACCCCCUCAUACUCGUCUGCCACAAAAUUAAACGAAGAAGAAGAUUUAGCACCCUUAAUCACAUCACCAAACAGUAGAGAAGAGGAAUCAUGUCAAAAAGAAUCUAUUGUGGAAAUUACGAACUUUGGACAAGUAUUGAGCUUGAACUAGUAGAUUCGUGGACUGGAUGAACCGCUCCAAGUUCCCCGAAGGCGGGGGCGGCGGCGGCGGGGGCGGAGGAGAAGAGGAGGGCGAAGGUGAGGGCUUCGACGCUUCCGAAUCGGCCGAUUCCGCUCGGCUCUCGACCUCCCGGGCCUCGGGCGGUGGCGCCGCCGGCGUAGGCUGACGCGGCGGCGGCGCCGCCUUCGCCGCUGCGGCGGCGCGCUGCUGCUCCUCCUGGAGCAGCUGCUGCUGGUGUUGCCUCCGGAUCGGCGGGGGCCAGUAGAACCGAUCGUCGCCGUGGCCGCGGGCGAGCGACGACGAUCCGCCGGAGAGAACCAUCGCAAGAGGAUCGGAAGGAGACGGCCUCGGGGAGUCCGACGAUGAUGGGGCAAAACCCUAGGGUUUCGAUGCGAUCGAUCGGGGGAGGUUUUGCGAAUUGUGGUUUUAGAAAUUAGGGUUUUUGGAGCACAAAAUCAUGGCAAGUGUUUGGGGAUCUAGCGAUGGGCGUGGUGGUGUGGGAGGACUCGGAAAAAUAUAUAUGGAGUUACUCAACUCUUACAACCUCUUCGCCUCCCGUUUCUAAAAUUUUACUCAAUUUUUUAAAAUAAAAGAAAUUUUUUGCACAUGAAUCCUUAGCAAUUUUGGAUAUUGCUAACACUGUGCCCAAUGCUAUGCUCAAAAUAUUAUUUUCCCAAUUCUUUCUAAAUUAAAAAUAUUAUACAUUUAUGUAAUUUUAUUUAUCAAAAAUUAAGGAAAUUAAAGUUUACUGCAGAUGAAUGCAUAGGCAAAUGUGGAGUCAAAUAGAUCUCAAGAUUAAUUAAUUUUUUUUAAGAAGUUUGAGAUCUAAAGUAUAUUCUCUUAAAAAAACAACCUUGAGCACGCAAUUACCCUCUAUUAAGAGUAUUUUCUCAUGUAAUGUAAUACCGUGCACACAGUUAUAGACACAAAAAAUCAUAGUUUUCAUGUAUUUGAAAAAUACUGUUAUAAAUUUCACGAUAUGGAUUCCACGUUACUUUAUCUAAUAAAAAGAUUUUUUCAUUCUAUAUAUGCAUAGGAAUAUACGAUAGAGGAGGUAUAGUAUUAUUCCUCGACUAAUUCUCACAAUCGAUCCUAAUGUUGUUGUAUUUCCCUAUAUAUAUUGAUAUAAUUGAAACUUAUUAGGAAAUCAGUGAAUAUUGCUGAUGUGGCUUAACAUACUAAUACACGUUUUAAUUGCUCGCUUAUCCUAAUACCGCAAAGAAGGAAUUAAUUAAUUAUAACCUUUGAGCAACAAAAUCGCGAUUUAUACAUGCUUGGUUUGGUUGGUUUUUGAAAUAAGUUUUCUUCUCUAGCUCAGAUAAAAGUUUUGAAACCUCUUUCACGAAGAAAAGUUAGAAUAAUAUUUAUCUUUUUCGAACAAUUGAGUAUAAAUGUGUCCAAGUAGUUCUACACAAAACUUGGCUUCUCCAAAAGCACCGUUUACCAGCGCUUUAGUUCGAAGCGAUCUAUUAAGCAAUUGCUCAUCAACUUUGCUUCGUCAAUAGCUAAAAGAAAUUGAGUAGCUUAAAAUACAUAUAUAUAAAUGAAUGUAUAAAUAGUUAUACAACACUCUCUUUUAGUCUCUCGAUCCCCAUCACAACUUCUAAAGAGAAAAAAAAUUGUUGAAAUAUGUUUCAAUUUAUAACCAUAUUCAUUACCAUAUUUGAAUAAGUUAAUUUCCAGGAUAAGCACAUAUAUAUAUAUAUAUAUAUAUAUAUAUAUAUAUAUAUAUAUAUAUAUANGAGCUGUUUGUUUCUAUGCAUGAUAACAAUGAAGAUGCCCGAGCCUUUGGGGGAAAUGUAAACCUCUUAUUAAUUGUGUGAAAGAGUUGUUGAGGAGCAACCACACUUAAUUAAAGUUACCAUAAAUUUAGCCAAGCUAUAUAUAUAUAUAUAUAUAUAGGAGUAUAUAUUUCUGCAAUAUUAUUUUAGUUCAAAUGAAAAAAAAAAGAAGAAAAAACACAAGAAUAAUGCUACGGCAAUUGGCUUAAUUAGGUCUUGGUAGGGUAGGUGUAAGGCAAUUAAAUUACCACAUUGAAAAAGGAAAAAAAAAUUAUCACUCAUUCACCGAAAAUUAGGCUCAGAUUAAAAAAAGCACUGAAAAAUAGAAAAACAAAAAUGCUUAGUGGCUAGUUUAAAAUUACCAUCCAUGAUUUUUUUUCUCGAAUAUUACUAUAUUCAGUAGGAACUGCAUUGCUUAAAACUGAGAAUCUAAUGAAAAAAAUGUUAGUAAAACAAUCUCUUUUUUUUUAAUACUUUUUAUUGCUUAAUAAAUUUAUUGAAUAAAAAAGAUUCAACAAAUGUCACGGCCAUUCAAACAGAGGGACCAAGAAAAAUGACAACCUCUAAAAAAACUAAGGAAAAUUAGAAGUGGCCACUAUGUCCACAAUUGUGUGGGGCUCAACUUUUUUGAUAGUUAAGUAAUUUUCGAAAAUAUUUGUUUCUUAAUUAAAUAACAAUAGUGUAAUAUAUAUGGCUAGUCCUUGCAGUGCCUUGAGCAUUACAACUUUAUUUAUCCUUCUAUUUUUUCUUUUCAUGGAAAUUAAAACUGUAACUUUAAUUGUACAAUAAAUUAUUAAUUACAUUAUAAAAAAUAAAAGUUUGUAAAAAUUACACUACCAGUUAGUAGAAGAGGCAAAAGUGUAAUAUACGAGAAAGAUCCGAACCUAACUAUUUAAGUAGAAAGUACAAGAAUCGAGUUUGCAAUAUCAGAAAAGUAGAGGGAGUAUCCAAAUAUAUAUUUUUUUUUUGAGUAAACAGGGAUAUACCCUAUUUGUGUUUAGAGAACCAAAAGGGAUUUACAGACCUAGUUUCCGUUGAUUGUAGUCUAAUCCAACCGAAGGCAAACUCCACACCCACAUUAUAAGAGAAGGUAAGAAGACAAGUAAGAAAAUACAGCAAAGAAAACAUUGCAAGGCACUAAUCUACACCCAUCACGUUCCAAGAGCACGUUGCCACAGAGCCAUGGUGUCUAUCACUUUUCUUUCAAGUUCGCCGCUUCUAGAUAGCUGGUUGUCGAAGAUUCGUUUGUUUCGUUCCUUCCAUAAUUCCCAGCAAAUAGUUGUGAGCAAGGUGUCGAAGCCUCUUCUGUGCCGGCGUCCUUUGAUUGAGAUUCGAGCACGAUUCCAGCGAGUAGGAAGAUCCCCCGGUAGCGCGAGCAAGGCACGCUGAGUGGUCAAAUGGUGUUGAAGCAGAUUCGUCCAAACGGUCGUUGAGUAUGAGCAGUAGAAGAAGAUGUGCUGUAAACUCUCGCCGCUUCUUGAGCAAAGGGUACAAAUCGAUGGUCCAACCCAUCCCCUUUUCGCGAGAGUAUCGGCUGUCAGAAUCUUGUUUCUGGCUGCGAGCCACAUGAAGAUUUUCACUCUUAGCGGGAUCUUGAUCGUCCAGAGGCAAGGAAUGUAGUUUGUGUUCACCCCAUCAUAGAUAAGGAAGUUGUAUGCUCGUCGUACCUGAAACCGUCCAUCCGCAUGCCAACGCCAAGAUAUAGAGUCGUUGUCGUUUGUAAGUGAUGUGUUCUGGAGCAGUACCUGAAGCCGCGGCAGGUCCUCCUGUUGCUGGUCUCGGCCCAAGCCCGUCCCAAAGCCGAGGUCGAUAUUGUGGGCAAAACGCUGGAUCCAUUUAGCUACCGAUAGAUUUCUGUGCGUCGAGGCGGCAUAGAGAUUUGGGAAUUGGUGUCUGAGAGUGAGUCCACCGGACCACCUCGCAUUCCAAAAGGAUGUUAAAUGUCCACUUCCCAGCACUACAGUAGUGGAUGCGUGGAGAGACGGUGCGGUGUCGAGGAUCCCUUUCCAUAUCGGGCAGCAUCUAAGAGCAGAUUUGACUUCAGCUGCAGGGUGCCGGUACCUGUAGUGUUUUUGCAUUAGAAGUUUGACCCAAGGCAGGUUGUGGUAGGUGUAGAAAUUCCAGAGUACUUUCAUAAGUAAGGCCAAGUUCAUGAUCCGUAAGCUUCGGAUACCCAAGCCUCCCAAUUUCUUUGGCCGGCACACAUGUUCCCAGGUAACUAGGCAUUGAAAACCAUUACGUAGCAUUCGACCCCUCCAGAAGAAGUGGCGGCGAAAUUUGUCUAUGAUAUUGAGCACCCAGGUAGGUAGCUUGAACAACGAGCAAAAAAAGGCCGGGAUACUUAAGAGUACUGAGUUAAUUAGUAUAAGGCGCCCCCCUCUUGAGAGCGUCUGUCCCUUCCAAUCCGCAAGGCGCUUGCUGAUCCUUUCAAUGAGCGGCAUGUAGUCAGCUCUUCGCAGCCGUUUAGGUGAGAGAGGCAAUCCCAAAUAGUUGAGAGGAAAUUCUUUCACUGGGCAUCCCAAAGAAGUUGCCAAGGAGGAUGCUUGAGCGUCCGGCAAAUUGAUUGGGGUGACGGAGCUUUUGCUGUAGUUGAUCUUAAGGCCCGAGCACCCCGCAAACUUGUCCAGAAUCAGCUUUACGAUCGCCGCCGACCUUGUUGAUCCAUCAAAGAAGAUGAUCAGAUCGUCCGCGAAUUGUAGAGUAUGCAGGCGGGCAUUUCCGAUUCCAACGUCCGGUAAUAAUCCUUCGGUGACGGCAAUUUGGAUAAGUCUGUAAAGGACAUCAACACACAGGAUAAAGAGAAGUGGGGAGAGCGGGUCACCUUGUCGAAGGCCACGCCUGCACGGGAAGGAUCUCCCCGGGGUGCCAUUUAGGAUCACUGACGUACUAGCCGAGUGAAGAAGAGAGCGUAUCCAUGAAAUCCAGCGCUGGCUGAAUCCCCUCGCUUGGAGAAGGUCAAGCAAGAAGCUCCAGUCAACUUGAUCGAAGGCACGCUCAAAGUCGAUCUUCAAUAGAGCCGCACGUUGCUUGGUAGUGUACAGGUGAUGAAUCAAAAUGUGGGCGCAAUUGAAGUUAUCAGAGAUGUGUCUACCCUUUAGGAAGGCCGCUUGAUAAGAGUUUAUCAAUCCACCCAGGACAUUCUGUAAUCGCGACGCUAGGACCUUCGAAAUCAGUUUGGCGACACUGUGGAUCAGGCUAAUAGGCAGGAAGUCGUUGGCCGACAGGGCUUCGUUCUUCUUCGGUACGAGACAUAACCACCCAGUGUUGGCUCCCGUGAGAUUCGCCAAUCCAUUGUAGAAGUUAUUGAACAUUCCCAUAAUAUCGUCUUUGAUGAGGUUCCAGAAAUGCUGGUAAAAAAGCAUUGGCAAUCCAUCCGGACCCGGGGCCUUCUCAGGGGCAGAAGAGAAUACAGCUGUUUUCACUUCGGAGAUAGUGAAGGGGGCAUGUAGAGAUGAAAGAUCAAUCUGUUGAUCUGCGUAAAUCGCGUGUAAGUUGAUAUCGACUGAGGGGUUAAGUUGGACACCCAGCUGGUUGCGGAAGAAGGAGAGGAGAUGUCCAGCAAUCUGAUCGGGUGAGGUAAAGGUGCUUGAUCCGGUUGAGAGCCUAGAGAUGAAAUUCUUGCUUCUGCGGGCACUGGCUUGUUGGUGGAAGAAUUUGGUGUUGGCAUCUCCCACUUUUAGCCAUUGGACUCGAGAACGCUGCUUCCACUUGAUCUCCUCCUGCAGACAAAUGUCUUCAUAUCUGGUCUUGAGCUUGGGUCGCAGAAUGUAUUCCGGCGUCGUUAGAGGUCGGUACUCUUCAGCCUUGUCCAACCACUCGAUCCAAAGAAGGCAGCGUUUACCUUGUUCUCUAGAGGCUAAAGAGAUGUCUGCGCUCCAAGAGCGGAGUGCAGAUUGGACCGACUCAAUCUUCCGCAAGAUAAGAUUAACCGGAUUUGUGUCAUGCAGAACGGACCUCCAGGCUGCAGCGACGAUGCCGCGGAGUGCAGGGUGGCGCAACCAAAAGGCCUCGAAUCUGAAGAGGUUAGCAGAAGUAUAGGAUGAGAGUACCAGAGGAGUGUGGUCGGAACGCGGCCGCGGAAGAGCCCUGAGAGCAGAUCGGGGAAAAACCAGGGUCCAAGCGUUGGAGAUGAAGACACGAUCAAGUCGCUCCAGUGUCGAAGUGACUCUACCGUUAGACCAAGUAAAAGAUUUGUUCGCAAUGGGGAUGUCGAUCAGUCCACUCUCCUGGACUGUUUCCCUGAAGCUCAGAAUAUCGUUGAUAUUUGUAGUCGGUCCGUUCUUGUCCUGAAUGGAGAGGAGGACAUUGAAAUCCCCGAGCACUACCCACGCCCCUGAUGAUGUUGCGCUGAUAGAACGCAGCUCAAGGAAGAAGUCAGCUUUAAGAUUCGGCGCCGUAGGUCCGUGGACAUUGGUAAUCAUAAACAUUUUCCCAUCCACUUUCCGCUUAAGCACAACGGUGAGUGAAAACCUGCCCGAAUGCUCUCUUACGCAAUCGAAAAGAGUCGGAUUCCAUGCUGUCAACAGACCGCCUCUUGUCCCUUCGGCACCUAAAAAACGGAAGUCUUGCAGAUGAAAGCCCCCAAAGGAGCGAAACUUGUCUUGAGAGAUAGAGGAAAGCUUAGUUUCUUGAAAGCACACCACGCAGCAUUUACAGUGUUGGAUGAAAGAUUUGACGACCGCACAUUUGCGGUUGUCAUUGAGACCCCUCACAUUCCACGUAAGAAAACGAAAAGUUCUAUUCCUGGCCAUAAAAAGAGAGAAAACCCCAAACAGCAAACAGCAACCCAAAGAAGGCUAGGCCCCUAGUCCAGUAACCGCAGACGCCCGGCAGGUAUCCUCGAGAACCGUAUCUUUGUCAGAGAUGCCACAUACCGUCUUGAUGAUUUGGAUAUCUUCCAGGGUCAGAGGGAUAAGUUUAUCUCUAUCCUGUGGAGCCGGGGCCUCCAUACUGGCCGCUGAUCCCCCACUCUUCCCCACCAGAGGACGGUAGGAGUCCAGGUGGGGACCAAAUAUUAUAAAACUAGAAAAUUUGAUCAAGUAUAAUUCCUUUUUAUGCAUAGGAAAUAUGUAUUUCAGAAUGGCGUGCUUGUAUUAUCUUUUUUUUGUUUUUCCUGAGAGAAAAAAAAAUAGCAAACUAUUCGCUUUAUCGACUUAAAAUGUGAAGUAAACAUGUUUUGAAUCAGGGAAUUUUAAAACUUAAUUAUCAAGUUUUUAACCAACUAUACUAGAGACACAGUUUAUAAGAUAGACAUGGAUUUGGGCCCCACCAUGACACUGAGUUGAGUUGGUGGGUCAAUAUUUGAGUUUGAUGUAGUUGUCCUCCAUAUCAAACUGGGCCCGAUUCCAACUCGGUCUCAUCUGCAUAGAAUCACUUGGUUGGAAUCAGGAUCAAGUUGUAAAAGAUGCCUCAUAUUUUGGAAUAUAAUUACGCUUGCAAAUAAUAUGCAUAGGGAGUGCGGAUUACACAGAGAACAAACUAUUGAAUUAAAUAGUUUGUGCACGUACUAUUGUAAGAUUUAUUUGUAAACUGUUAUAAUAAUUUCAACUUCAAUCCAAUUUGACACCUCGCAGAACAGAACACCAACCCUAACCAACAAAUCUUAAGUUUCUAAGUCAAUUCACAAUCCUAGACACUAUCCCCUGGACCCCUGCAACCACAAUUAUCUAUUAGAUCAACCUAUCACACUGUUCGAAUUUGCCUUAACUUUAUGAUUUGAGAGGCAUGGGAUUGGGACCUGAGCACCUGAGAAGCUCCCAUUCACAUUGAGGCAGGAUGAAGUUGUGUUGCUGCAUUGCCUACUAUUAUCGCAUGUUACCAACUUGAUAUCGGCGAGCUCGACAUUUUUGCAAGGCGCAUCUCUGCUGCAUAACAAGUUCACCGCUAUUUUGGUCGUCGAAGUUCCCGUUAUGUUUUCGAAUGUUACGUUGCUAAUUUGUACUCGCGAUGGCUGGAAAAACAAAAACAAAAACAAAAACACCAGUUUUUCAUUACUUGUCACUCAAUUAUAAGUGGUGAGAUUGUAUUUGGGUAAAGUAGUAGUACCUUCUUAGAGCAACCAUCUAGGGGGCAAUACUCUUGAUCUAUUAUGAUAGGGUUGGAGACAUUGAUCAUGGUUAUGUUUGAGAAUGUGAAGUUUUGAGCCAGGCUAGCCGAUGACCCGGGCCAAGUCUUGAUCCGCACACCGUUGGUCGUGUUCUUCACCGUGCAAUUCUCCACGAGCAACCCGAUCACGUCCGUCUCGUUGUCGUACUUCCCUAAACUCCCAACACUAGGAGGAAAAACAACAACAAAAAAAAAAACACCAUGUUGACAUUUUGAUCAUGAUUUCGAAAUACAUCCUUAUGUUUCAAUUUGAACAAUUUAGUCCCUGAAGUUUAUUCUGCAUAAUUGGUCCUCUGAGGAUGACAUUGAAAUUGUUACAGUUGGAACUUCGAGGAUGAAAUCGAAAUCGGGGGCAAAUUUGUAACCAGCCCAAGAAUUCUUACUAUGAUAGUGCAUUCGUAAAAUUUUACCUUAUUCCAUGGCCAGGUCCGCAAGUGACAUUUGAGACAAGCACAUCUUUUGAGCCAGGUCCGAUGGAGAUGCAGUCAUCGCCGGUGCCAAUGACCGAGUUCCUGAUCCGGAUGUGACUUGUUCCUCCUACAUGGAUGCCGUCGGUGUUGGGGCUGUCUCCUGGGGCGGUGAUAUUAAGGUCGUGGAUGUUGAUGUGCUCGCACCGGUGAAAGUUCAUGUGGAAUGCUUUGCUGUCGACAAGUUUAAGCAGGGAAAUCGUCGAAUUGCUAACUUCUUCGAACUUGAGUGUCUACAAGUAAUUCAAUCAUUGCAUCAAUACAUAAGAAAAUGAUAGUCAACUUAUGCACAAAACUUAUUUUAUUUAUUCUUCACCGUAACGCGGAUAUAAAUUGUCGGAACCAGUAUCACACACUGUUCCAGUAUUGUUUUUAAAACCAAUUUGGGUUCGAACCAUGACAUAGUUCACGUCGCAUAUUAUAGGAUCAUAUGUCAGGUUGGUCGGGUCAAAUCAAAUGACGUAAAAAGUUUGGGUUGCGAUUUUGGGUGACCCAUUUAACCCAACCCGCUCGGGGUGGGUGGGUCUAAGCCAACUUCCGAACUACCUGAAUUGGUUCAAGUCAGGUUCGGGUUGACCCACAUGAGAGAGUUACUAUUUUAGGCGAAUCCAUCCAACCCAAUUGGGAAUGUAGCAUGGUCCAUUAAUUACCUUCAUUGAGAUCUUUAAAACUAGGCACAUCAGUUUGUUUUCUCUAUCAAAUUCUUGGUAUUACUGCAUCAAACAAUAACUUUCUCAAACUGUUAGUAACCUUUUCUCAUAACUCCUGGAGCAUAAAUAAGAUCAUGGCCUCAUGGGUGGUGAUUAAUUAACAAAGGGAUUCAUGUAACUGCUACUAUUGGAAUACAAUAGUAGAGUUUCCACCAUGUGCACUUGAUGAGUAUAGAUAGUACAAAGAUUACUGGUGUAAGUGGCCAAAGCAGGUAUGUAGGUUAUUCAUCUGAUUACUUGGAACUGCAGAGGACUUUGGGGUGAAUUCACAAUCUUUCAUAGCAUUAAAGUAGUAAAUUCUUACGGUGGGGGCAAGAUCGCACGAUUGACCAUCGUCACACUUAUUCUUCGACCACGCACGGGCGCCCUGGCCGUCGAGGGUGCCGCCGCCGGUGACCGCCAACUUGUCGAGGCCGUUGAAUUUGAUCCAAGAGCUAUCAGGGAAAUCGUCAAAUUCCAAAGGAGCCUGCAGUGACCCCUUGAUCUCAACCGAAGGAGCAAUGUUGUUCUUGCACGGACCGCGGAAUUCGACCGGGCCGAGAUUGAAGGUCCCAUUAGGGAUUAAAAGGCGCGAAGUACCGUCGAAGUUGCACGCAGCUUUCCAAGCAGCCAAAAAGGCCUAGGAACAAAAGAAAUUGAAGGAAAAUAAGUUGGUGAACAUGAAUGAGUGAGUGCAAAACGUAGGAGUGCUUGUUUUACUUUAAUAGAAAGAUUCAAAUGGCUCAUGCUGAAAAGUUAAUGUAAGGUAAUUUAUCUGAGUCUUUAGUUGAUCUUUCUUCAAACCAAUUUGGUUGUAUUUAUGUACAGAUUUAUAGAGAAAGAAACUAAGCUUCUAUCUUAAUUUGGCAUCUAACUGAGGUUUUUGAAUCAGGUUUUCUUUUUUUUUGUUUUUUGUUUGGACAAUGUAUCCCCCCCUUCACCAUGAAAACUCACAAAAACUUGCAAACUUGAUAAACCUUUAAUUCCAAGAAAUUAAAUAUGUAGAAAUUUAAUAGGAGUGCAUGAAUUACUAAGGAAAACAUACACAACUGCAUGAAUAACCAUAGCAUUCUAAAUAGAUACCACUAUAUUCCUACCCAUGAAAUCAUAUUCAGGUAGGACCCAGCCCUUAGACUCUAAUUUUAGCUCUGAGCUUAAAAAAUAACAAGAAUAUCCUACACCUGAACUGUGAGAAAGGUGAAUUGUCACUUACUGCUUUAUUAUCCUCUCUAUCCACAUCUGCACCAUAAUGAGUUACAUCAAACACAUUGGGAGGGUCAUUGGCUUUGGCAAAGUAGAAAACCCAAAAUGAGAAGAGAAAAGCCACCCUGAAGUAGUGCACUGUGCUUACAUGUUGAAGAGAGAGCAUGGUGUACAUUUCAUUCUACUUGAAGAGACUAAUUAAGGACGAGUGUACGUACAUGUAUAUUACCCUUCUCUUUUGAAUUGAUUAAAUAGCAUUAAGAAUGGCUCUGUAACUUCUCUUUUUCUCAUAGGGAAAAUAAGGAAACGGACUUGUUUCCCUAAAUAAGAUUAUUGCAGUAAAUAAACUUACUACAUUAGUGCCCACUCUUUACCACAUAAAAAGAUAAUUCCUUAAAGAUUUUUUUUUUCCCUUUCUAGUGACGUGAAAUGUUACCGUAUCAGUUAAGUUUUUUUUUUUUUUCGCUACAAAAGUGAAACAGUAGUACGUGCAUAAAUACACACGAUAUUUAUGAAUAAAGAAUAACACUAGGACAUAUAUUUGGUGACAAUUAAUAAGUUGCCAAUGGUACAUCUCAAAUAUGUAAUAACGUAUUCCAAGUAAUCUAGAAUUCACUAAACAGAGAGGGUCCGCCGUCCGAUAACCCACUGCUCGAUCGAUCACCGCCGUCGAUUGGAGUUGGAUACGGUUUACUGCAUUCUUUUAGCUGUGUAUUCUUCAACUCUUCACAAUUGCCAUUAAAAGGUUUAAGGAACAGAGUAGUGAAUGAAAUACAAAUGAGUUCUAUAAAUAGGAGAAGCCAUUAACGCUAAAAACAAAACACAACCUCAAAAAUGUAUACCACUUAGCAAAAUGUGCUAAAAUAAAUAUGAAUUUUAUGAAAUGAAGUAUGAAUGGAUAUGUCAGACAACAAUGUGGGAUUGCAAUGUUUGAUACAACGAAGCAAUAACCGGAUGUGACGGUUCGGUUUAGAAAAUCAGCAAAAAGGAAUAUUUGAGAACCUAAAAGAACAGUAUGCUUUGCAUCUUUUCCCUCUACAGUCUUGCACUCUCCUCUUCUCUUUCUUGUCCCGACCCUUAAUCCUAUGAGGCGACAAUGAGCCAGAAAGUCUUUGUACAACAGGAGUGUUUAAACCAAGAAAGUCGUUGUAUAGAGAAGUUCACAAACUCGAGGACGCCGAUUUAACUUAUAGAACCCCCAAAACUCGCAGAUGUUCUGGAGAAGGCCUCCCCGGAUCACAUAAAUGAUCAUCGGUAAGAAGACCAAAAGAUGGAAACCAUAUGUUAGUGAUCAGAACUUUCACGUAUCGUCUUCUGAAGCAUAUCUUUAAUGAAGGAGCCGAAGCAAGAUGAGCAGCAAUUGUUUGAAACAAAUGCAGGCUCUUUGCCAUCGAAGUCGUGAGAACAGUUGGGAGGAGGCUGAAGGGGGCCUGUGACCAUUCUACUGUGGUGCUUAAUCCCGAAUGCCGCCAAAAUAAUGUGCGUUGCCCGCCUCGCGAUGCGCUUGAAAUUGUCACGCUCUUCAGUGAAUAUAAGAAAAGAUCAGUUCGCGCGAAUAAAGACAAAAAAGAAACCAUAAUUCAAGUUAAUUAUAUCAGAGUUUUUACUUUGCAUAGAGUGAUGCCAAUUACAAACAUAUAUCAAUAAACAACAAUACGUGUCCUACAGAAAUCCAAGGUUGUAGUAGAUAGUAUUUACAUUUGCAAUUGCAGUACUAAAAAAGGGAUCAAGCUAUGAAGUACCUGCCUAUCAUACAAUAUGGCAUGCAAACAACUCUAAUUACACAAGCAUGUAGACAUAAGCAUAAAUGCAAAAUAGUUGCAUAAAAUCCUAACAACAGCAAGCAAGCUUUAAUCAUCAAAGUUUGCGUCCCCAAAAAAAGGUGAUGCAGCUCUAAAAAUAUAAGUUCUAAAUUCUGAUAGCGCAUAUGAUGCUUAUAAUAGAUAAAUCAAUCACCAAAAAAAAAAAAUGGAGCUUGAGAAAACCUACCUAAUGGGGAAUCCCUGGUCAAGCGUUUAAGGUCGCUCUUCACCAUGGACUGCACUUGCUCCUUAGCCCCCUCCACAUUCCUGAAACUUCUUCCCUCUCUAUGCAUGCACGGAGCCAAAUUAGUACGAGACUGAAAAGAAUUCACCCCUUCCGCACCAUGUAAAGGUUCUCGAUUUCUUUGAAUUUCUAAGGGCUCACUAUCAGAUUCUAUGCCAGGCGUCACACCAGUUCGUGGAAAGAUCUGCCUAGAUCUGCUACUGUUGGAGAGCAAAAUCCUUAUACGCUGUUGGAUUGCACGCCUCCCAGAAAGAGUUGACACCUGUGAUGCUGCCACCUGGUCCUCCUCGGGAAAUUCUCUAGGGGAGAGGUUUAAAUCAAACAUCGAUCUCUGAGGAUUAGUAUUAGCUGCACCUUGAGGUGCAUUGAUGUCUAUUUCAACAUUUGCAGGACGGCUUUCAUUAUUAUUUCUAGCUCCCCGAUCGAACACGGUAUCGGGUGCUUGAGAGAAAGAUGAGCCCUCUCCUGCAGCUCUACAACACUCACAGUACCAGUUGCCUUCAGGUACUUCUCUUCCCAGGCCAACACAAUAUGUGUGCGCGGGUGAGUCACAUAUAUCACAAAGUAGCAUGAGAUUAUCAUCACCACCUUGCUGGCAUUCUAUACACACGACGCUCUCAUAUGGAUCAAGCAUACCCCUCAUUUCUUCUUCAGAUGGUUGGUAAACCUGUCAAAUUGAAUGAAGCCAGACUAAGAUAUGGAUCAUAAAGCCCACAGAUACUAUAUUUUGAAAUGAACAAGGAUGACACAACAGAAGAAAAUAAAAAUUAAGCCAAGUCCGUAUAAAUACGAUUUAUUUUCUCAUGGUACCACGAAAGGGAAAAGGAAAAAGGAAAAGAAAGAGGGAACACAGCAUGAGUCAGAAAUCACUGGACUUUGUAUCAUGCGAUUAAUUCAAAAAUCAUCUGAGGGUGAAUUUACAUAUUUUGAUAAUACACAAACAAACUUUUCAGCAUUGCUAUUGAUGAUCCAAUUGUGAAUAUUGAAGCAAGAAGAAGCUUGAAUUCUGGUGAUAUUAGCUAAACAAAAUCAGUGAAGUUGAUGCUUGCAUGUCUAAAUAAUAACCAAAAUUUAUGCAAGCAUGAAUGAAAAAUGCAGCAUAAGCAUGCCAAAUUCAAAACUCCAAGACAGUCCAGGGAUUAGGAUCAGCAACAUAGAAAUAUAUAGAGCAAGCAAAGAGCUAGUUCAGACCAUUAUUUAUCGAGGAUAAUUUUAGAAAACCAAAGUUUAAUCCCUUAUUAGAUCACUACAUCUUUAGCCAUUUUCAGUACCCUAACAAUGCUUAGGACCACAAGCCAAACUAUGCAAUGUUCAUAAAAGGGCAAAAGGUAAUAAGGUAAAGGAUGGAAAAUUCAUAUGCUUCAAAAAAGAAAGCUAGAUAAAUUACUGAUAAAAUCAACAUCUAAUAAGUGAUCAACUACUGUGCAACAGUCAUAAUUAAUGGCGAAAAGUCAAAACAUGAUCAUAAAUUUCAAGAUUACUAUUACCAAAUUCAUAAAAAGAUCAUAAUAAGGCAAGAGAAAAAGGAAGAAGAUUAUACCUGAUCACGCUUCUCUACCCUUAUAACAGGCUUCCUGAUUCCUAAACCUAGAUCUGACUUGGACGACUUGGUAAUAGUCACAAAUCUCCUCUUGCAAAGAGGGCACCGCGAUUCCACUUUAGACCACUCCAUAAUACACGCGAAACAGAAAUAAUGGGCACAGCAAUUCAAAAUACCCUGAAUCGAUGCUUUUUGCUCCUCUGACAAGCAGAUCCCACAGAUCGGCUUUCCCAAAUCAUCAUCAGCCUGUUUCUCCUUCCCUUUCUCCUCAUUCUUCCUCCCUGCAAAUAUCCUCUUCGGCUGCGGGCAGUUCGUAACCCCUCCAACACCAAGAUCACGUAGCUCUUCCUCUGAAAUCAUGUAAUCUGAAUCGUCAGAUGAAUCCAAUCUAAUCGAUGAUCGUCGCUUCCUCCUCUUCUUGCUCUUGACCGGAGCCUCCUCGACAAAAUCAUCAUCAUCAUCUGACGUCACAUAUUCGAAAUCCGAUGUAUCUGAAUCCACCGACGAUCUCUUCUUCACCGGCGCUGGAUUAUUUGUUCUGUUUCUUCUCCCAAUCUUGUUCCUCUUCUUCUUUGUCUUCCUAUUUACUUCCUCCGGAUCUUUCACAAUGAAAUCAUCAUCUUCGUAGUCAUCAUCAUCUCUCAACUGCUCUCGUCUUCUCCUUCGCCUCUUUCUCGGCAGCUGCUUCACCGUUUUCCUCCCAUUCUUUGUCUUUGAAACCCUAGAUUUGCGCUUCCUUCCGAUUUUUCUCGUAUCUCCAUUUCUCCUUGAACCAAUCUUGUCAGAGCUCACAAGAACAUCAAUUUCUUCGUCAUCUUCCUUAUCCGGCGAGAAAUCCUCGUCCUCGUCCUCCUCGUCCUCGUCCUCCUCCUCUUCGUAGUCCGAAACCCUAGCUUUCCUGCCGCGAGAUCGGACCCUCCCCUUCUUCCUCCCAAUCGCAGCCGUCCUUUUUUCCUCCUCCUCCUCCUCCUCCUCCUCCNCCGAAACCCUAGCUUUCCUGCCGCGAGAUCGGACCCUCCCCUUCUUCCUCCCAAUCGCAGCCGUCCUUUUUUCCUCCUCCUCCUCUUCCUCCUCCUCCCCCUCAUAAUCAUCAUCAUCAUCAUCCGAAACCUUAGCCGUCCUACCCCUUCUCCGGCCAUUAGAGGAGCUCCUCCGUGGCUCCGAUCGCGAGAUCCUCUUCUUCUCUACCUUCUCCUCCUCCUCCUCCUCCUCCUCCUCCUCGUCGAACACCGCAUCAUCGUCCUCCUCGGAGCAUGCGGAUCCGCCAAAAUCGAACUCCUCCUCCCCGGAUUCCUCCUCGGAAGCGACCAAGGACUCGGCGGAGCUCCCCGACCCCUCCCCGUAUUCCUCCUCCGCCACGUACUCCUCAUCAUCGUCGUCGUCGUCCUCCUCCUCCUCCUUGUAUCGCCCCCGUCGCCGCCGCCUCCCAUUGGCCGUUUUGGAGCUCGGCCCCCUCCCUCUCCCCAUAUUACCUAAAAGGGCCUAAAUAUAGACUAACUUAAAAUCGAAAUAAACUUCGGGCACUUAUUUGCGAAAAUUCUUUCGUGCGCGAAAAUUGAUGAUGCGUGCGGCCUUGCGACGGAGAAAGGAACAGUUGCUACCAAAAGCACCUCAUUUUUUUUUUCCUUUUUCUUCUCAAUUUAAAAAAAAAAAAAAUUGGUGCGUAUAAAAUAAAUAGUAGAAAAUACGGGGUGGAGAGAGAAAAAGCGGGGGGAGGAGUGGGGUGUUGAAGGAUCCGUACCUUAGAAGAGAGAGAAGGUCGGCGAAGAGAGGAGAGAGAAAGAGAUAGAGAGAGAAAGAGUAAGAGCGAGAGAGGUGGGGGGCGAUUUAAACGGGGGGGAGGUGGAGUAAUCGGCGACGUCAAGUGGUGAAAUGACCAAAAUGCCCCCGUAUUAAUUUGGGGGCGAUUCUUCAGCGCACCUAAUUUCGAUGAGCUGGUGUAACGGAAGUGCGGGGCCCACGCAUCGUGCGGAUGAGAACGCCCGAGGGCCUCAUACGGAACACGUGGCGUGGAUCUACCGGGUGACGGCUUGAGUUAAGCGGUGUUUUUUUGCGGGACACCGUAAUGGUUUCGAAACAGCGGCGGGGUGCGGACGCAAACCUGUUUGCGCCACCCGUAACGCCGUUUGGUCUUGUCCCAAACGGGUCGGAUUCGGAUCUGCUCCACUGAGGAUCCGAAAUUAAAUACCAAGCAACCUAUGGAUAGAAAAGAGUUUAAAUGCAUUGCGUCGCAGAUGAGCAGCAAGAUUAUUCUGUCUGCUAAAAUAUCUGUAACGAAUGAUAAAUUAUAUCAAGCCAGCCGGUUAAGUUCAAUCUUGUUCUCAGCUUAUUAGCUGGUUGGUACAAGUUAUUCUAUUCGUACAAUUGAAACCAGUUAAAAAUACAGGAGCCAAAAUUUUCUCUUUCCUAAAUAGAAGCAGCAGCUAUUCUUGAACAAGUGCAAUAUAUGCUAACAUAAAUAAAACCUCACUACUGUUCAAUCGCUCUCGUAUAGAAACAGCUAAGAAAUUUAAAAUUGGAAUGGUGAUAUAUAUAUAUAUAUAUUAACAUAGGACUUGUUUGGGGAAAUUGGUAAAUGCCUCAGCAUGGGUUUGUAAUAAAAUAUCUGAGCUGUAGAGAAUCUAAGAAAGCAUUGAAGCUUUCUUGAUGAGUUCCUAAAAAGGGUUCAUUCCAUUUUGGCCAAGAGCUGGAAGCUUAAGCCAUGUAAAGUAACGUUUAUGAUUUUUAGAUUCUGUUUCGUUCAUAAAUGUGUACAAGUUUUAACCCAAAUGUAAACACGUGUAAGUGACAAAUCAGGUGUCUGAAUGGUUUCCACAAAUAAAUGUGUGACAAAAACAAAGUAAACAUUUUCCGACUCAUAAAAAUAAGCAAUCGAUCGGACAGAUAGAUGAUGUUUUUCUACUAUCAUAGAGAAGCUCGAAGCUGAAAUAUAGAACUGUUGCACAAGCUAGGCCAAACAUGCCUCACUUAUUAUAUAUGGCGGGCGAAUAAAGUUAGAACAUAAUGUAGAAAAAUCAUAUGAUUUUUAAGAUUCUGUUUGGUUCCGUAACGAUACUGAUGUAAUAUGUAAACACAUGCAAGUGACAAAUCUGACAUUUGGCUGGCUCUUGUAAUUGCGACGCAUAAAUACAUGUAAAUGGCGAGUUAGGCAUUUGACUAGGUCCAUUGAACAGGUGGUCUAAUACAUAAAUAAUGUAUUUAGCUAUCAGACAGAAGGUUAGAUCAGGAGAAAAAAGAUUGAACUAUCGCACAAGCAAGACGAAAUAGGCCUCAAUUGUGGUUGGCCAAUCUAGUUGAAGGAGAAUUUUAUUCCUUUGACCUUUCUUUGGGGCAUAAUAAAAUUGUAACAACCAUUUGAGUCUCACUGUUCUCAGUUAAACAUGGUGGUUAUAAAAUCUUAGAACUCUCGAGUUUUCGUUAAAAUAUUUCGAACUACUCCUAGGACAAAAUUCUCAAACCUGUUAUAUCAUUAGCAAGGUACUCCCAAGGUGUGAGUGAUAAUUCUUUUCUUCUACAAUUUGGUUUAUUUUGCUAAAUCAGAUUUGAUCAGCUCUUAAAUUGAUGGGAAGUUAAUCACUCAUCAACUUACCAUUUUCGGAAAAAUCUUAGAGGAAAUGAAAGCUACAGGAAUGUUAUACUCAGCAACUUGCCAAAGAACAUAUAUAGUUUGUUCCAAAAGCGAAUAAUUAGCGUCGGAUGCCGAGUACUCAGAACCAGCAUCUGACGCUGCAAUCGAGCGAUUAGUAUCUGAUUACUCCACGAUAAUUGAUUUGGAACAUCUUCCCUAUUUCAAAGCCAAAAUUAAAUAUUUAACAAACACACAGCCAGAAAUUUUCGACGAAGUCGAAAAGAUGGAAUUAGGAUUUAGUGUUUGCAGCUUUGAAAAAAACUGAACUAUGUCUCCUGAAAGAAGAAGUUCCCGAGCAUUUCUAAUGAAAAAGUUACAAAGCUCGUUCAAACAACUAUAUUCAAACUAAACAUAUAUUAUACUUGGGGUAAGGGAACCCAAGAAGCCCAUCUUAUUAUCACAACAAUUUCUCACACAAUCAACUUUAGAUUCAUAAGUUCUUUUUUUUUUUUGUUGUUGGAAAGCUGAGAUUCACAACUUAUAUAUUGCUUUAUCAUAAAACAUUUAGAGAAUAAGAAAUCUGAGAUGUGUGAAAUUUGGUAACUAGCAUUUUGUUGUUGCUUACUUUAAAGAAAUAAAUAGAACAUAGACCAAGUGAGAAAACAUAAAUGAACCAAAUAUUAUGCCGAUGAAAAUAAACAAACAUAACAAUACAUUUUUACAUACAAGGAUAAACAAAAUGGAUAGAGAAAAAGCCCACAUCUUAAAACAAAAGGCGAAAAGAAAAAGAAACAUGAAAACAGAAUUUCUCCACCACCUAGGAGAUCUACAGCAUAUAAACAUCGAACUAACUGGAUCCAGGGUCACUUCAAAUUGCGGGAGCUCUAGCUUUCGACGUCUUUUGAACUCCUUGGAACAAAGCCCAACUGAUCGUUAGCAUUGCGAAGAGGUUCGCCACACUCUCAAUUCCAUUGCCAGGCAAUGCUAUUCAGUAAAACUGCUCUUCUCGCUGAGCAUCGUCUUAAAACCGCCAUCCAUUUUAGCACCGCGAUCAGCUUAACCCACUUCCUACGGGCAGCAUAAUGCGCACUCUUAUCACCCGAGACCUGAAUGAAGCCAUUACAAUGAUCCCAAAUCGAGCAAUAUGGAGAAGAGCUCAACAUAUCUACUUCAAAAUUAGAACCCAUCUUCACAUUCUCACCUGCCAUGCUUGGGUUGACCAAUCCUCUAGGCUGUAAGCUUCCCCACUCUUCGUAGAGAUCCCUCACAUUCAAACUAUUUGCUUGGAAGGAACUCAAAUUGAGCGGAUAAGAAUCAUGCCCACUCAACUGGGACAUAUCUUCUAAAAUUGUAUUUCCUGGCAGACAAGGUGGCCACAAUGUUAAUUUAGAAGAGCAUACAAGCGUUGUAACAUGAAAAGUAAACUAAGGCUAAGUGGUCAUAAAAUUUCUCUUGUCAGUGACUUCAGAUUUAGAGCAAUCGAUACACUGAACUCGAGCUUUAUUUGUAGGAAAUUAUUGAGAUUUGAUAGCUGAAGCCAAUUGAAACAGGAAUUGAAGUCCCUUGCAUGUAACAAAUUGAAGUGCGUUGACCCAUGUGAAAUUUUACGAUAAGUUCAAUGACCGAUGGUGCAAUUUCCCCAUUUAAUGUCAUCAUAAUUGUGAGUCUUAGUUCACCUUGAAUGGAUGGAGCGGGAUGAGGAAUCUGUUGGUCCAUCAAGCUCGGCAUUGGCAUAGUAACCACAUCAGUUGGAGAUGGUAGACUCGCGUUAUUGUUAACAACUUGUUCUUUGAACUCAAGUAUAUGGCCCGGAAAUCUAUAAGCAUCUUGCUGCAACUUGUUCGCCAAUACCUGAAAACAAACAGGCCUUAUUUAGGACAAAUAGCAACUCUCUUAGCAAACAAGAUAUGCACAUCAUUUCAUAACCAAUUAAUGUCUGUAAUACUUUGAUACUAAUGCUGCUCAAACCCACAAAAUUUUGAACUUUGCAUAUUUGCCAAUUAUAAUUGGUGAAGAAUGGAAUGAAGGAAAGAACGAGUCGAUUGCCUGAGAGUGGUUGAGAGAUGUAGGAAAGAAGAGAAGACUAGAAGAUAAAAUAUUAAAAUUCAAGGGUAAUUUAGAUAUACGUAGGAACGAUAUCAUUCAAAUUAACAUGAAUGGCUUAUAAUUUCCACAGCACGUUCAACAAAUAUCAAACAUUCAACGAUAGAUAACAUACGUUACAGGAUGUAGAGAAGCUAAGUGUAAUUAAAAGUUUUAGUGCAUAAGCGUCAAAAAAACUCAAGAUCUUCAUCAAAACUAUUAGCCAUUAAAAAAACUUACUCGACAAUAGACAAAAACACUAACACAAAAUUGAUACUUAUAUAAAAAAGUAGAGGAAAAAUUAAGUUUGGGCAGAAGUACCUUUUGAGUUGCAGUAAGUUCAUCCAAACUGUAACAGUUGCCAUUCAUUAUUGUUCCCACAAGCUCAUAUAUACAGUUGAACAGCAGUACAACUCCCUGCUCACUACAAUAUGAGUAUAGCUUGUCUUCUAGAAUGCACUCUCUAGCAUGCUCAGUGGUCGCUUCCCACAUUUUAUUUGACAUCCCAGUGCCAAGUAACUAUGAAGUAUGCAAGAGAAAAUUGAGAGAGAGAGAGAGAGAGAGAGAGAGAGAGAGAGAGGAGGGGGGAGGGGGUGAGAGCCGUUAGUUUGUGCACAAGGAAGUCUUUAUCUCCAAAAAGAAAUCACAAUUGAUAUGGUUUUCUCACCCGACGAAGCCUAUCUUGAUCCACCACCAAAUUCCUCAGGAAGUCUUGAACAGUAAUGAUCCCAAAGUCUGCGAGUUUUUUAUGAAAAACUCCAUCUUUUCCUAUCUUUUCCAACCGCCACACAUCAUCAAGCAAUGCUGGAGGAUGAUGUUUCUUGUACACUGAAAUUCAAAGAUAUUUUAGAUAAUGCCGGUAACAAAAAUUUAUUGAGCCAUACACCUAUAAGCAUCAAAAUUGCAUAAAUCUGCCCAAAAAAAUUGAUUUCCUGAUACAUAUAUACUCUUUCCAAAGGAGUUUAAUGAAAAUCAGUUUCAAGGACACUUAAUGGUAUUUAAGGGCAUUCUGAGUAUUUUUUAUGUGUAUAAAGGCAUAUACUAUAUUGCCAACUUUAAAAGCCAUUAACAAAUUUAUAGGGUGCAUAUGUUAUUUUCUAGAAAAAAUUAAAUAGUCAAAAGUUGACAAGAUCUGGACUUACACUCUCCUCGGUGAUCCUUAAUACAAAAAGCUUCACUAACUGCUUCAUGUACUCUUUCAACUCCAGAAUUAUUUUGACAGACCCUCGCGCCUAGCCUGAAUUUUCGACUUCUUAUCCAGCUGGAGUUAUCAGUAAAAGUGGCAUCACAAAUAAAACCAACCCCAUUGCUCAGUGUGAUUACCAGUUCCCCAGCGAGUAAAGGUCUUUUGCCCUCUCUUUCACGUACAAUAUUUUCACUGAAAUCCUUUUCAGUCCAGCCCAAUUGUGAAUCCGUUCCAAAAUCACCGUCAAGAACAACAAUUUCGAUCUGGAUUGACGAUGAAGGACCGGUUGAUAUUAUCCGGUUUGAUGCCGAAUCAAAAAUUGAAACUUGGAUUGGUUUUUUGUUCUCGGUUUCUAUUUUGCUGCCUGUGAAGAGUGUUUGGGGCAGAGUACCCUGGAAUUGCAGCCGAUAUCUUUUGUUUGAAGCCGCCUUAAUCUGAUGAGGAAUUCUAAAAGACAAAAUGCAAAUGCAUCUAAGGACAGUAAGAAAAAAGACGAAAAAAAACAAUUUUAAGAUAGCUGCAUGUCUAUCAGUAGUUUUAAAGCAGCUUUAUUCAGAAAAAUGACAACUGACGUCAGUUUUUUUUGUGAUGCUUUUACAAGUUUUGUUUUUUCUGUUAACUCUUGUUGUUUGUGACGAUUUCUUUUUUUUGCAAAUAAAAUUUCUUAAAAUUGUCUCAAUAGGUCCCACUCUUAAAUUUAAAAAAUAAGUGAUUCUGAACAUGUUCCCAAAAUAAUAAUUCUGAUGAAUUAUUAAUUGAUAUUAAGUGUUGGGCAAUGAUAUGAAGCAUUUUAAUAUAUAACUUAAAAUGACAGCGGUAUGGCAUAUAGUUUCUAAAAUGCUUACUUCGGAGCUAAACGCACAUGACGAUACAGAGCUUUCUCCACCUCUUCUUGCACCUGAUAUCCAUUACAGAGCACAACAUAUCAAACAAUAAGGAACAUUACUUUUCGAGAGGCAUCAGAAGUUGCUAUAUAUAUAUAUAUACAUAUAUAUAUAUAUAUACAUAUAUAUAUAUAUAUAUAUAUAUAGAGAGAGAGAGAGAGAGAGAGAGAGAGAGAGAGAAUUGAGCUCCUAUGCUUUUAAAAGUACCAAGUUAUUGGUGCUUGUAGAUUUUUAACCAUUAGAUUAAGUGAUGUACAGUUAGGAUGAUGUGGGCCCCCUAGGGUUGAGUGGGUGGUUGGUUGAAUAAUAUAAUCUAAUGGUUGAAAAUGAUUCGAGGAGUAAAUCUAACGGUAAAAAAUUUACAAGUAUUAAUGCUAUAAAUGCAUAUACAACACAGGCAUCACAAAAUUUCCAACUACACACAAAUGAAGCAGGCAACAACCAAUACAAUAAUUUUUAAAAUUACGUGAACUUCGCAAGAACUGUAUAUUUUAAAUCUUCUCUAGAUAUAAUUUAUCAACAGACAUUGCAACUAAAAGAUGAUAGGAAAAUAAAUGCGGCUAUUCCUAUUUUACUGGAUUUAUACACAGAUCGACAGAAUAAGAAGAUUUCAAGACAAGUGUGACUGAAAUCUAACUAAGUGCCUGCUUUGAACAACUAGAGUGCCUCGAGAUAUUCUUUGAAUAAAGCUGUUCGAAUCAACUAAUUUUAUUAGAAUUGCCCAACAGAUUCACACUGCACCAAGAAGCUGAAUCUCUGAAAUGGAGCAAAACACUUUUUUUUUUUUCCAUUUCUCGAAUCCCAAGUAUAAGGAAAGAAACACAGAACCACAUGAAUUAAAAUGUCAAAUUCAAUUUCUCAAAAAUCAAACUCAUCAAUAGCAAGAUACUUGAGCAACAUUAACUCUACCACUUUGCGAAGAAAAGGUUCCAUCUUUGACAAAUGGCGCUGCAUGUACUGUGCUCCCAUUACUUCUCGCAUCGAACUACAAUAAUUAUAAGCAAAUUGUUACAGAAAAAGGAAAAAAAAAAAAGAAGAAAUUCUAAGAACCUAUCACACACUGAAAAUAAGAAACGAAAUUAAAUUAAAGAAUAGGAAAUGCCACUCACUUGAGAAAUGUUCGUCGUCUCUUUGCUUCCCGAGCCAACAAUCCCUCACCCUUCCCCCCUUCUUCCUCCUCCUCCAAAGCCCUUUUCAGAUCCAUUACGAGCUAAACCAAACAACAAAACCCUAAGCCCAGUAACGGCCACCGAAUCAACCGCCGCGCACACUUCAAAAUAGUAACUACUAUAAAUGGGAGAAACGGAUGAGGAGGGAUCUGCGGGCGAAGCAGCGCCGAAGCUUCGCCCGAAACGUAAAGUAGGGCUCAUCGUAAAACCCUAGAAAUGCCAAGAUUCGAUCUUUUCACCCCCCAAAAGGAUAGGAAUUUUGUCAGAGGACAAGGGGGGAAAGAUACAAACCAGAGAUUCUCGGGGCGCGAGCUCGAGAUUGGGGUACGGAAUACCAACAAGGUGUGAGACUGUGCCAAAAAUUUGUUGAUAAAAAAGGUGGUGGGGUUUUAGGGUUUUGUACAUGGACCGGAGAAGCUUCGGAGAAGGGAGGCGGAAGGAGACGGGGUAGUCGCGCCGAUCGAGGCUGCGACCGUGCGGGGCCCCGUGGCCAUUGGAGCUCUGCUUCGAUUCGUCGUGGUGUGGAGAGAGCGAGAGGCAUGAACCCUAAACCCUAACCCCAAUUCCUAGAAAAAGCUCGGGAUGUGGGGAAAAGGAGACAAAAGGGAAGCGGAGAGAAGGUGCACAAAAGCCCUGUUUUUUUCGCCGCUUUGUGCUUUGCCUUUUAUUUUUUUUAUUUUAUUAUUUUUUUUUUAUUUUGGGCGAGGCUUUUGUUCGGAGAAUAUUUGCAACGGUCGCUGGUUCUGUUUUGUUUUGUUAAUUAUUAUAAUUUAGCACUAGCUACGAGCUUUAAUUUGAUUUUAAUAAUAAUUUAGCAUUUAAAGUUAUGGUAAAUAUAUCAAUAUCAAUUUGGAGUUCGUUAUUAUCGUCAUAUCAAAUGCUAGGAAUAGGAACUCGAUUUCAAAAACAGUCCUUUUUAAAACAACUUUUUGGGAGUUUUCUUUCCCACGCUUUGAUACUGGACAAAAGCUAUUGCUAAUUUUCCUUCGCUUUUUGAAUUUUUAUAUUUAUUUAUUUAUUUAUUACUUUAUAUGAUGAACGUGUUUCUUCGUUGUUGCUAUAAUAAAAGCGAUAGAAUAGAUUUAUGGAUUGCUUUUUGCUCCACCUCUUUGCCAAAAUUGCUAUCUACUCCCUGCCUUUUUUUUCCCACUUCCUUUCCUACUUUUUUAAGGGAAUUUAUUUAUGCAGCAGCAUCUCAAUCCCACGUGGAACAAAAGUGACCGCACACGUGAGCCCCACGUAUGAGCCUCUGCAUGAAGAGUGAUGAUCACGUCGCCUCAAAAAAGUACUAUGGCUCGUGGCUAAAUAAAAUCACUUGCGAAUUGGGAAAAAUCCAUUAAUUAAAUACCCUUAAAUUAUUAACUAUUUAGCAAGUUACCCCACCCCCCCAAAAAAAACUCCUGAGAUAAAAAGGUUAAAAAGUUAAACGAAGUGUAAUGCUUUAUAAUAAAGCUCAAUGAUGAUAUAAAUAAAAUGACAAAUACAACAAGCCCCCCCCACAAAAUACAAUCGGGUGCAUAAACUUGUACGGAGAGUAGAAAACGGUGGAGCUAUUUCCCCUUUCAAAUAUGCGAAGUGCCCCUCCAAAAAAUAGUACCGAAUAUAACAUGUCCAGUGCAAGUAUUAAAUACAUGAGUUUCUCUCGCUCUUCUCCCUCUUUUCCCUGCAAUAGAGUAGUAGCCAACAUACAUACAUACAUGCCAUAGGUUGAAUCCCCCCUGCUCUUCUUCUUUGAAGAGUCCGAUAAGCGGCGACAGAACCACAAAAGAAAGCAAUGGUAGGUACGAUCUGCGAACAAUCAUCUGCUUCCUGAGAAGCACUUCUGCUGCUGUUGUUGCACACGAAGCACUCCCUCAUAAAGUGUUGUCGAAGAUUGACGAAAGCACGAGCUCCUGCACGAGCUCACUCCUUCGGGCUCUCUCUUCCUGAUCCUUGUCGGAGAGGGACGGCUCGGUUCUGUAAGAUGAAGAACAAGGGAUAAUAAUCAGACUUCAAAACUACCUGCCCCAGCAACUUGCUUUCAUUACUGUUGGUUUGUUCGACAACACCUUUUUCUGGAUAUCGGCAACAACAAAGACGAGUGAAAAAUAAGUCCGACAUUCAGAGUACAGUAUUAACCUUAGCAAAACUGUUGCAAUAAGAAGGCAUAGGCUCACAAGUCAUAAAAUUGACUGCAAUAGAAGAAUUUGAUGUUCAUUAAAAUGUAAAACUUCAACGUCACCAAUCAAUCUUUAUAAGCUUAUCUAGCAUCAGACAGAAAAAAAAAAAAAUCUCACGCACUAAAUCAACUCCCUUUAGUAACAUUCUUACGUCGGACACCAUCAAACCACUCCAUGCAGGAAGUGUAAGAAAACUUUCGUUCAUACCAAAAAAAAGGGGCAUCCAAAGAAAUUAAAGAUGAGACGACGCAGAAGAGAAUAGAUAAAAAUGUGUAGAGAAACCAUCAAAUAUAGACCAUUUUGAACUUGAAUUUUAUACUUUUGUACCAACACCCCCUUAAGUAUUGCUUGUUUUAAUUAUUGUUAUUAGAAAUAGUUUAAUUGGAAAUUCCAGAGAAAUGAACCUCUCUGUUACCUAUAGGCCAAUAAGUAUUAAUUAAACAUCCAAUUUUGUCCGGGCGAAAAGCAGGAGGAGCAAUUAAAUUUAGUAGGAUCACUAUUAAUUUAACGUGAUCACCAAUUCAACCAAGGGGAAAUAACUCAAAUCAAAUCGAGCACUAGUAGAGACAUGCCAAUUAAAAAUAUAUAUAAAAUUCAGGGUUAAAAUGGUCUAGAAUUGAGGGGAGGGGGUACAAAUAUUUUUCUACUGAAAGAAAAAUAUGCAAUCAAUAACAACAUACCUCUCUACAACUUUUUCAUCUGAACAGUCAUUAAUCAAAAAGGCAUUAUCCAGUGACUCAGCUUGUAAACCUUUCGGUGAUUCACCUAUGGGCAAAUUGUAAACCAGAGAUGACAGCAAUGGAUCGGGUGCAACUGCAGAAGGAGCAGCCGUACAGGAAGAUCCUCCAAGAAGAGCUUGUAGAUUGCCAUCUCUCAAGUCCUUCCGCAACAAAGAAAGCAGAGAAUGGGACCCUGUAGAAGCUUUGCGAAAUCUACGUCUACGUUGCAAGUAAUCUUCUAUUAAGGAAGGCAAAAGAAACAGCCAUUUACCCGCAGUCAGAUAAAGAGGUUAAACAUAUAUAUUACCCGCUUUGAAAUGAGAGUGUCUGAAUGUUAAAAGUUUUGAUGUCACUAUGCAACCUCUCGUUAUUUUUAUUUCUCUACCUUUUGAUAAUGGAAUUUCUAACUCUUUUGACCUGAAUAUUCUAUGAGCUAAAGAAACUUGACAGUAUAUUCCAUACAUUUUUGACAAAACCUGUUUGUUUUGAAAGAAGCUCACAGAAUUAUCUGACAUCACAAAUGAUGACGGUUAGGUAGUAAAGCCAAAAAUUUAAAGUUUAGGGACCCAUUUUAAUAUGCACAAUUGUUCAAGCAAGGUCUGUAUGUUUUAACUAUAAACUGUGCUCAAUUAAAAUCUACAAAUAAAUUUUUCACUAAGAUGCUAUCAGAUAGAGGACUUUGUAAAGUUUGUAGAUAACAACCACUGUGGUAAAGGAUAUUUUGAAGUAACUUCCAUGUUGCAUUGUCAUGUGCCCAACCAAGUCCAUUCCAACCCUCUCUGCACAAAUGGGACAUACCUGCAAGAUGCAACUGAUUAGAACUCUUAGCGUCAAUACUAUCACAUUAAUUCCAAAAUCUUGAAGGCUAACUUCGUACAACUUUUUGCAUGGUUGGGUAUAUUUAUGCAUAGUAUAAUUUCACACACUAUGAGCCUGUGUGUAAAGUGGGCACAUCUGCAUCUAUUUAUUUAUACAUUUGUAUGAUUCUGCAUUUUCACCAACUUCUGUAUAUAAACACCUUCACAGGAACUCAUCCAAGAGUGCAUGACUAACUUCCUAUAGACGACACAUGAGACAUAUUUAAGCUCAACGCAUAUUGGGGUUCCUAUAAAAGAAUUUAUCCUUUUCUUGUACAUGGAUUAAUUAUUAACUAUUAAGCAUCUAGUUGAUCGACUAACUGAAUUAAUUAAAGAAAACUGGAAUCCAAUUCAACAUUUUAGCAAAAGACUAGCACAUUGUGACGACCUGAGUUCUGAGUGGUCAUUGCUGGAAAGAGAGAGUGCUUCCUACUAAGCCAAUUACUCCUCCCUCUUUAAUGUUAUAAACAUUGCCCAUUUUGUGGUUGAAGAGGAAAAUAAACCAACGUAAUUUAAGUUUAGUACGAACUGAAAUCAUUAAAAUUAAGAAGAAGAGACAGUUACCACCUUCAGCACCCAAUGCAGCCAAAUUUUUGUUUGUCCAACCUUCGACUUAGUACUCCCUUAGUCACAUCACUAUGCUAAAUGUGAAGUUGGUUAUAAGUCGACAAUGUGUGAUAGUUCUAGAGAGAAAAUGGAAAGCUAGGUGAUGGGAUCCCCACCAACUAUGACAAGUUAUUCCAGCUUUGUUCUUACCGAUUAUCAGUAAUGUCUUAAUGAUUGUCGCAUUACAGAUAUCAUGCACUUCUCUCCUUUUUAUAGACCUUUCCUUUUACAACCUACAGAUGAAAUAAUCGAGCGAUCCCAAAAUGCACUUCAAAUUCCCAAAAGUGCUGAUCCGUCUCUUUUAUCUUGGAAACUCGUUUCCAGGAUAAAAAUACAUUUCAGUUUUUUCUCAAUUAACUCAAUAUUACAGUUUUAGUUCCAGUUGAACAUCUACUGGGGUUUCUUCUUCUUUUUUUUCAUCCCAUCAAUACCGACAUACACAACUAGAAGUGAGAAUUCAACGACAAGCAUGUUACUUGGGAUGCAACCUCACAGUAAUUUUUUCUCCUAAAAGAACAAAAAUAGAGAAACCUCAACAAAGUAAACAAAUUGAUGGGGAAAAAAAGGAGGAGGAUUUAUAUUGUUGGUGGCAAAAUAGAACUAUCAAAGCUCAGAUUUUUCAUUAAAAAACUAAAUUAAUCAAUCAAAAUAUAGCAAGCAAUACAGCUAAAAAAAAAGAUCUACGCUGAACCCAACUGAGAUAAGAGUAAGAAAAAAAGGGACUUAUUUAACAAAAAUAGAAAGUCCUAUGAUCCUAAUAUCGCAGUAAUUGUAAGAUAAGACCUAUUCGAUUAAGGAAACCGAUUCAAUACAUCUCUAAACCAUCGAAAAAGAGAGUAAAUACCCCAUUUUUAGCCUCGACAUGGUGCUCGUCGUCGAUGUGGCAACAAAGCCCCACGAAAUCGAAAUCCUCGGCGCAGAAGGGGCAGUUGAACUCCGCCCGCGACUCGUCGUCCUCGCCGUCCACCUCUUCGAACCCUAGGUACAAAUCUAGGGUUCCAAAACCCCCGAUCAAAAGAUUCAAACCACAUCGAUCGACCAAUCGAUCCCAAACGAAACAAAAAGGAGGUGAACGGAUUCGAGGGCUCUCACCGUAUCGCGAUUGGAGGAGGCGCUUCGAGGCGGCGGCGGAGAGGCGGCUCCACGAAUCGGCCUCCAUGGAUCGAUCGAUCGAUCUCGAAGCUUCGAUUCGAUGCGAUUGGAUUCGAUUGCUCCGCGAAGGAAACCCUAGCACGAGAACCCACCCUAGUGGCGAUAAAAUUAUUGCGGAGAAUAGUUUCGAAAAAUUAUAGUAAUUAUUAUUAUUUAUUAUGAGCCUCUUAGCAUAUAUUAUAUAUACGUAUGGGAGAGAGAGAGAGAGAGAGAGAGAGCUGGGAAAAAGGGUCGAGGGAUAUAUUUUUUAUUUACAUUAAAAAAAUUAUUAUUUAGAUUAAAUUUUUUAAAAAUAAAUAUUUUUUUAUAAAAUUAAAAAAAGUAAAAAAUAGUUUUUUUACUCAUAAAAUUAUUUUUAAAAUACUUUUUGAAAACUUAAACUUCUCCUUUCCACAGUGGGGAAAAAAAAUAAAGUUGGAAGAAAAUUUUUGCUUUAGCAUUGCAAUACAGUUAAAAUUUUGGAAAAGAGGAAGAUCAUCUCAUAGCGAUGUUUUAAAACUCGGGUUGAAUUUGUUGGUCAAACCAGUUGGAUCAUGAUUCAAUCCUGGAAUCUUUAUUCCAAAAGAUUAGGUUAGCUUAAAAUUUACUCAAACUCGUUCAAAUCAGUUUAGUGAACUGGUAUAUGUAUUUUAAUAAUUCAUUGAAAUUAUGCAUUAAUGUUUCAACAAUUUACACUCUAAUAUUUGAAAGCAAUACGGAUACAAUUAUUAAUUAACAUUUUAUAUAUAUAUAUAUAUAUAAUAUAUAAAAUAAUAAUUAAAUAUUGGGGAAACUUCAAAUACUCCUCGUGGUUUCGCAUUUUUCCACUUUAUUACCCUGUGGUUUAAAGUGUAUCAAGUUAGUACCGUGUGAUUUCGCACUUUCUCACUUUAGUACCUUGUGUUUCAAGUGUUUCAAGUUAGUACCCUGUAAUUUUAUUUUUGUAUCAAUUUAGUAUCCUGAGGUUUUAAUUUUUUUUCUUUUUAUUAUCCCAUUUCGGAGUAUAUAAUUUAACGAAAUAUUAAACCACAGGGUACUAAAGUGAGAAAGUGCGAAACCACAAAAUACUAACUUGAUACACUUGAAACCACAGAAAACUAAAGUGAGAAAUUGCGAAAUCACGGGUUACUAACUUGAUACAUUUUAAAUCACAGAGUACUAAAAGUAAAAAAGUACGAAACUACAGAGGAGAUAUUUGAAGUUUUUUCUUAAAUAUUUAUGACAUUGUUUUCAACUGAAACACUCCUCUGUANNNNNNNNNNNNNNNNNNNNNNNNNNNNNNNNNNNNNNNNNNNNNNNNNNNNNNNNNNNNNNNNNNNNNNNNNNNNNNNNNNNNNNNNNNNNNNNNNNNNNNNNNNNNNNNNNNNNNNNNNNNNNNNNNNNNNNNNNNNNNNNNNNNNNNNNNNNNNNNNNNNNNNNNNNNNNNNNNNNNNNNNNNNNNNNNNNNNNNNNNNNNNNNNNNNNNNNNNNNNNNNNNNNNNNNNNNNNNNNNNNNNNNNNNNNNNNNNNNNNNNNNNNNNNNNNNNNNNNNNNNNNNNNNNNNNNNNNNNNNNNNNNNNNNNNNNNNNNNNNNNNNNNNNNNNNNNNNNNNNNNNNNNNNNNNNNNNNNNNNNNNNNNNNNNNNNNNNNNNNNNNNNNNNNNNNNNNNNNNNNNNNNNNNNNNNNNNNNNNNNNNNNNNNNNNNNNNNNNNNNNNNNNNNNNNNNNNNNNNNNNNNNNNNNNNNNNNNNNNNNNNNNNNNNNNNNNNNNNNNNNNNNNNNNNNNNNNNNNNNNNNNNNNNNNNNNNNNNNNNNNNNNNNNNNNNNNNNNNNNNNNNNNNNNNNNNNNNNNNNNNNNNNNNNNNNNNNNNNNNNNNNNNNNNNNNNNNNNNNNNNNNNNNNNNNNNNNNNNNNNNNNNNNNNNNNNNNNNNNNNNNNNNNNNNNNNNNNNNNNNNNNNNNNNNNNNNNNNNNNNNNNNNNNNNNNNNNNNNNNNNNNNNNNNNNNNNNNNNNNNNNNNNNNNNNNNNNNNNNNNNNNNNNNNNNNNNNNNNNNNNNNNNNNNNNNNNNNNNNNNNNNNNNNNNNNNNNNNNNNNNNNNNNNNNNNNNNNNNNNNNNNNNNNNNNNNNNNNNNNNNNNNNNNNNNNNNNNNNNNNNNNNNNNNNNNNNNNNNNNNNNNNNNNNNNNNNNNNNNNNNNNNNNNNNNNNNNNNNNNNNNNNNNNNNNNNNNNNNNNNNNNNNNNNNNNNNNNNNNNNNNNNNNNNNNNNNNNNNNNNNNNNNNNNNNNNNNNNNNNNNNNNNNNNNNNNNNNNNNNNNNNNNNNNNNNNNNNNNNNNNNNNNNNNNNNNNNNNNNNNNNNNNNNNNNNNNNNNNNNNNNNNNNNNNNNNNNNNNNNNNNNNNNNNNNNNNNNNNNNNNNNNNNNNNNNNNNNNNNNNNNNNNNNNNNNNNNNNNNNNNNNNNNNNNNNNNNNNNNNNNNNNNNNNNNNNNNNNNNNNNNNNNNNNNNNNNNNNNNNNNNNNNNNNNNNNNNNNNNNNNNNNNNNNNNNNNNNNNNNNNNNNNNNNNNNNNNNNNNNNNNNNNNNNNNNNNNNNNNNNNNNNNNNNNNNNNNNNNNNNNNNNNNNNNNNNNNNNNNNNNNNNNNNNNNNNNNNNNNNNNNNNNNNNNNNNNNNNNNNNNNNNNNNNNNNNNNNNNNNNNNNNNNNNNNNNNNNNNNNNNNNNNNNNNNNNNNNNNNNNNNNNNNNNNNNNNNNNNNNNNNNNNNNNNNNNNNNNNNNNNNNNNNNNNNNNNNNNNNNNNNNNNNNNNNNNNNNNNNNNNNNNNNNNNNNNNNNNNNNNNNNNNNNNNNNNNNNNNNNNNNNNNNNNNNNNNNNNNNNNNNNNNNNNNNNNNNNNNNNNNNNNNNNNNNNNNNNNNNNNNNNNNNNNNNNNNNNNNNNNNNNNNNNNNNNNNNNNNNNNNNNNNNNNNNNNNNNNNNNNNNNNNNNNNNNNNNNNNNNNNNNNNNNNNNNNNNNNNNNNNNNNNNNNNNNNNNNNNNNNNNNNNNNNNNNNNNNNNNNNNNNNNNNNNNNNNNNNNNNNNNNNNNNNNNNNNNNNNNNNNNNNNNNNNNNNNNNNNNNNNNNNNNNNNNNNNNNNNNNNNNNNNNNNNNNNNNNNNNNNNNNNNNNNNNNNNNNNNNNNNNNNNNNNNNNNNNNNNNNNNNNNNNNNNNNNNNNNNNNNNNNNNNNNNNNNNNNNNNNNNNNNNNNNNNNNNNNNNNNNNNNNNNNNNNNNNNNNNNNNNNNNNNNNNNNNNNNNNNNNNNNNNNNNNNNNNNNNNNNNNNNNNNNNNNNNNNNNNNNNNNNNNNNNNNNNNNNNNNNNNNNNNNNNNNNNNNNNNNNNNNNNNNNNNNNNNNNNNNNNNNNNNNNNNNNNNNNNNNNNNNNNNNNNNNNNNNNNNNNNNNNNNNNNNNNNNNNNNNNNNNNNNNNNNNNNNNNNNNNNNNNNNNNNNNNNNNNNNNNNNNNNNNNNNNNNNNNNNNNNNNNNNNNNNNNNNNNNNNNNNNNNNNNNNNNNNNNNNNNNNNNNNNNNNNNNNNNNNNNNNNNNNNNNNNNNNNNNNNNNNNNNNNNNNNNNNNNNNNNNNNNNNNNNNNNNNNNNNNNNNNNNNNNNNNNNNNNNNNNNNNNNNNNNNNNNNNNNNNNNNNNNNNNNNNNNNNNNNNNNNNNNNNNNNNNNNNNNNNNNNNNNNNNNNNNNNNNNNNNNNNNNNNNNNNNNNNNNNNNNNNNNNNNNNNNNNNNNNNNNNNNNNNNNNNNNNNNNNNNNNNNNNNNNNNNNNNNNNNNNNNNNNNNNNNNNNNNNNNNNNNNNNNNNNNNNNNNNNNNNNNNNNNNNNNNNNNNNNNNNNNNNNNNNNNNNNNNNNNNNNNNNNNNNNNNNNNNNNNNNNNNNNNNNNNNNNNNNNGUUGGUUGUAUUAACUUGACAUUUUAAUCACAGAAGUACAAAAAGUAAAAAAGUACCGAAACAUACAGAGCGAGAUAUUUGAAGUUUUUUCUUAAAUAUUUAUGACAUUGUUUUCACUGAAACACUCCUCUCCGUAUUAAACAAAGGGCGAGGAGAGAAAGAGCCAGUAUGAAUUACCAAAAAAAAAAAAAAAAAAAAAAAAAAAAAAGGUAUGUAAAGAAGGAUAGCACCCUCGCACCAACCUUGAAAGUAAACAAGCGAAAUUCUACUCACACAUCCAACAAUUAAUAAUUCAUAUAAUAAAAUAUAUAUAUAUAUAUAUAUAUAUAUAUAUAUAUAUAUAUAUAUAUAUAUAUAUAUUUUGGGGAAAUGAGAUACUUAUAGGAGUUGUUGCUUUGUUGGUUCAAUUUCUUUUCUUUUUUUUUUUACUUACCGUGGGCUGGUUUUGGAAGGUAAUUAAUUUAGUUCAAAUGUUAUGUAAAAAAAAUUUCAUGUUUUACCCGUUUUCAUAAAAAUUCAUCCUUACACCUAUAAGCAAUUACAAAAAUAGAAGCUAUAAAUUGAAAUGCGACGUGAACUGCAUUUGUGAUGUUCAAAUAUACCACCAUCACUGCAACCACUAUCACCGGCCCCUCGAUCGCGAUUACCAUUAAGCCCAAAAACUCUUAAAUUUACCACAAUCAUAAAAUCACAAAAUAAAAAAAGAAUCAAUUCUUUGUGGUUUACAAUAAGAAUGUAUUGUAUUUUGUCACACAUUACUUUUUGGAGAUUUUCUUGUGCUUAGCCUAAGCCCACAUGAGCCCAAAAAUAUAAUAUAUUUUGUAAAAUCUGAUUCAACCUAAAAGCGGAUGUUUAUUAGAUUUGAGUCUACACUCUCUUAUAAUUAUCGGAUGUGGGAUUGGUUGCAUGUGAACUCUUAGGCCACAUUUGUUUCACCGAAGUUGAAUUUUGGGUUGAAGUAAAUUUGGAUUGAAGUGGAGUUUGGUAAAAACUACUUCUUGCUCGCUAUUUGUAUCGUAGUUACGGAAGUAAAGUUUUAUUAGUUCUACUGUUUGUUUGGUAGAAAGUGUGUGAUUAAAACUAUAAUUUAUGUGUAAACAAUAAAUAAUUUAAUAAAUAAAAAUAAUAUAAUUAUAUAUUUAUAUAAUUAAAAUUUAAUUUAAAAUAACUAAAUUAUUAUUGUAUACAUAAAUUAUAGUAAUACAACAAUAAAAUUAUAAAAUAAAAAAAUAUUAGAACUAGGUUGGAAUACUAUUAAUAGCACCAAGCUAUUGGUGCUAUUAGUUUUUUAACCAUUGAAUUGAGAAAUGUGUGGUUAGGAUGAUGUGGGCCUCCUAGAGAUGAGUGAGUGGUUGGUUGAGUAGUAUAAUCUAACAGGUAAAAAUAAUCAAAGAGUUAAAUCUAACGAUGGAAAACUCGAUAGCAUCAAAUCCUUAGUACUAUCGAUAAUAUCCCAGCCGGACUCAAAAUAUUAAUACUUAAUUAAUCAAUUUUUAUCACAUUUUAAUUGUACAAACUAAAUAAAAAAAAUAUUAAAACCUAACUAAUCAAUUCUUAUUAUAUUCUAAAGGGAUAAUUUCAUAGAUGCCCUUCUAGGGACUUUUAAUUUCAUCAAUACCCUUCUAAAAUUGAUAAUAUCAUGAAUACCCUCCAAUAUAUAAAAAAUUUUCAUACAUACCCUCCACUAGUUAAAGUCCGUUAGAAAUGGGAUUAAAUUUUCAAAAUGCCAUUUUUACCCUUUAUCUCUUAUCAAUAGUAAAAUUACUAAUAGGUAUUUUAAGACAAUUUUAAUAAAUAUAAAUUUAACUAAUUUAAUAUACUAAAUAUAAAACUAAAUUAUUAAUAUAUACAUUAAUUAUUAAAAAUAUAUAAAAAAUGUAUUUUAUAUAUAAUAUGUUUUUAUAUAAUUUUGGUUUUGUUUUUGGUUUCGGAUUUCGGCUCAAGUUUAGUUUGGAUAUAGACUAAAACAAUAACUGAAUUUGAAUAUAAUGAGACUUUUUUUUUUUGCUUCUAUAACUGAAACUAUCCCUGCUCAGCAUCAAUUAAGAUCACCCAUUCAAAAUUGGGUUCAUAUAUAUCUAUAUCAAUUCACAUUCCUAAUCAGUAAUAGUAAAUUUAAAAUAAAUGAUAGAUUUAUUUUUUUUAUUUAAUCAAAAAUAAAUUAUAUAACUAUAUGCAUGCAUUUUUUCGUCGAUUGAAAAAAAAGAGAGAGUUUUGUUCAAAAGCUAAAAUAUAUAAUAUUUCAGUUUUUUAAUGCAUUUAAUAUAGAUAAAAUUAUCGUGAAUAAUUUUGGUUAAAAAAUUUUGCAAGUUUCCAAGAUUAAACAAAGAUAAAAAAAAAAUCCUCAACUUUUAUUUUUAUUUAAAUUUUUAUACAUAGUUAUUUAUUUGCUAAAAUAUAAAUAGAGCCACUAGAUUUUGUUAAAUCAUAAAAAAAAUGGACAAAAUCUCAUUUUCCGUACACUAAAAUUAGUCAAUUUUUAAAAAAAUUAAAAAUUAAUGGGAUGUCAACUAAAAUAUAAAAGUUGAGGGAGUUGUUUUAAAAUGACAUAUAGCUGAGGGAUCUCCAUGCAUUUUUACUUAUAGGAGUUGAGGGUAAACUAGUCAUAUUAAAAGUUAACCCAUCUUUAACCAUUUAAUAACUAUGGUAAAAUUAGAAUAACUAACAGUAGGGGUAUUGAUGUUAAUUUUUGAUGUUUACAGAGGUAUGUAUGAUAUUUUAAAUUUUAGAAGGGUAUAUAUGAUAUUUUAAAGUUUAGAAGGGGCAUCUAUGAAAUUGCCCCUAUUCUAAAUAUGCUAACUGAAUAAAAGAGUAAUUAGUACCAAAAUUAUAUAUAUGUAAAUAUAACUAUUUUUACCUAGUGUAUUAUUUUAUUAUUUUUUCUUCAUCUCUAUAUCUUCACCGUAAGUGACUUCGACUUACGAUAGGCCGAAGACAUUUAGGUCAUUUCAGGUUAACUUGAGUUUCAACCGUAACUUUUGUACGGUAAACCAAAUAACUAAAGUGAUCGUUUAUGCCAAAAACGACUUUUUUCUUCUCCAAUUUCACCCCAUUUCCACCCAAAUAAUUUUACAUGCCCUUAACAUUACUUUCGAAUCAAUAUUAAGAAACUGACACCGACCGUCGCUAGCGUAAGCGGCAAAAGGGGUGGGUGGUUGGUACCUGAGACUCAAGUUCGAAUUCUAAUUGAUUCACAUUUUCAGCUCAAUUUAUUUCUAAAUGAAAUAAACGAAACAGGUAGCAUACUACCUUUCUCUCAUAUAUAUAUAUUAUUAAUGAUAUAUACUAUAUAUAUAUAUAUAUAUAGAGUUGAGCUAGAAUACUCUCGAUAGUAAACGGGGCGUUUACUAUCGAGAUUGUUUCGAUGAUAGAGCUUCCAAUUGACGAUCGUCCGUUAAAUAUGAUCUAAACCAUUUAAACUACUAGAAAUCAAAUUUCACGCACUUUCGAUAUUGUUUUUUAUCCAUCUAGUGAACAAAAAAUGAAUGGCUGAAAAUGAAUAUUCUUUAAAAAUGAUGAUAGGAGUCUUGUAAUCAAGAUCAAGAGUAUAGAUAUUGUUUUAAAUAGUUUAAAGAAUUUUCUAACAAAAAUUCAAUUGAUUUGGAUAUCUUUACACCGUUAAACGAGAAACGUCUCUUAUUCCACCAUUAAAAUUACAAAUUUUGAACCCUUUGAUCAUUAGCAAAUGAUGUCGAAAAGAUUUUGAAAUUUGAUUUCUAAACACUUCAAGUGGUAUAGAUCAUGUUCAACGAGGCGAUCGUCAAUUUUGAAUGUUAUCAUCGAAACAACUCGAUAGUAAACAGCCGUUUACUAUCGAGAGUAUUCUAGCUCACACUCGUAUAUAUAUACUAUAUACUAUAUAUAUAUAUAUAUAUAUAUAGUAGGGCUGUUGUGCUCUCAGGAGCACAAAGGCCUCCGUGCUCCUGAGCGUUUUCGAUGAUGGAAUUUUCGAAUCGACGAUCGGCUCCAUUAGACUUGAUCUAGCGCAUUUGAAAUUUCUAGAAAAUAAUUUUUGUGAUUUUUUUAUAUCAUUUACCUAGUGAUCGAAAGGAUUCAAAAUCCAUAAUUUUUAAUGGUUGAUAUCUGCUGUUUUCAAGUUUAACAGUGUAGAAGUAUUCAAAUCAUAUGAAAUUUUAAUACAAAAUUUUUUAUACUAUCUAUAACAAGAUCAAUAUUUCUGAUCGAAAAUUUUAGUGCUAUAUCACCACUUUUUAUAGGAUUUUUAUUUUCAGCCGUUAAAAUUAUUGAUUUUGAAUCCUUUCGAUUGCUAGGUAAAUGAUAUCGAAAAAUCGCAAAAAUUAUUUUUCAGAAACUUUAAAUACGCUAGAUCAAGUCUAACGGAGUCGAUCGUCGAUUCGAAAAUUUUAUCAUCGAAAAUGGCUCAGGAGCACGGAGGCCUUCGUGCUCCUGGGAGCACAACAGCCCUGCUCUAUAUAUAUAUAUAGAGAGAGAGAGAGAGAGAGAGAGAGCGAGAGAGAGCGAGAGAGAGAGAACUAGGCUAAUAUACUAUUAAUAGCACCAAGUCAUUGGUACUACCAAGUUUUUGGCCAUUGGAUUAAAAGAUGUGCGGUUAGGAUGAUGUGGACUCUCUAGGGUUGAGUGGGUGGUUGGUUGAAUAGUAUGAUCUAACGGGUGAAAAUGAUCAAAAGGGUAAAUCUAACGGCGGAAAACUUGGUAGCACCAAGUGCUUCGUGCUAUUAAUAGCAUAGUAACCGGACUCAUAUAUAUAUAUAUAUAUAUAUAUAUAUAUAUAUA
rnacentral:lncRNA from 1 species